UUUUUUCUGUUUUUUAGUUAUAGAAAUGUUAGAAAUUAUUCUGUUUUGUAGUUAUAGAAAUGUUAGUUAUAUAGAAAUGUUAUAAAUGUUAUAAAUAUUAGAAAUGUUGUAGAAAUGCUAGUUAUAUAAUCAGAAAUGUUAAAAAAAUUAGAAUUAGUUUUAGUUAAUUAGAUGAAUUAGAUUAAUGUCAAUUUGUUAGAAUUUGCAUAUAUAUAGAAUUUUAGUUAUCACAAUCCAAUCAUUUAAAAAAUGUUACUUUUUGCGGGCAUAUAUAUAGUAUUUGUUCUCGACGAUAUGCCCGGCCCUCAUCCUCGCCGUCGACCCGUUCGCGAUGACAUCAUGCUUCAGAGGACCAAUGUCCGGGACUGGGCUCCGUCGGGCUGGCACUGGGAGGUGCUACCUAGAGGGGCGCCCCGCUUGGUGAGGAACCCGGCCUCGGGUCCCGUCGUCGACCCUGAUCUCUUUUGGUGGCAUUCGCGUGGGCCACAUUCGGUGAAGAGGCAGCCGGCCCUGCCGGAGGUGGUGCGUCACCAUGUCAGGGAGGAAGACGAGCACGUCCAUCGCUACAUGGCUGCUAUGGACGACGUCAGGUUCUCCACUACUUGGUAGGUUCUUUGGCAGAUGACCGGAGAUAUGAUCAUGUGAUGGUUCCUUCUCUUUGGGUGUCCAUGGCCCGCGCCCCAGGAAGCGCGAGUGGCGCCCUAGAUUCUUCUGUAGUACUCGAUCUUUAUUAGGUACCUAGCCAGUGAUGUAUUCGAUAUAUAAUAUUCGAGACGAUGUAUUCGAGAUUAUAUAUAUUAUUCAAGACGAUGAUGUAUUCGAGAUUAUAUAUUAAUCAAGACGAUGCAUAUAUUAUGUACUAUAUGAUUCAGUUUUUCCUUAUUGAUUGCAUCCAUGCAUUGUAAUUUGAAUACUAAAUUGUUUUAUAUUUCUUAUGUAUUAGUUAAGUAAAAGCUAUGGCGGACAAUACCGGCAGAGACAGGGAAGAGGAAUUGUUCGACAUCAUACGCAGCCCUCGCAGGCUAGAUGAUCUGAAUGAAGUAUUCGAUCUCGACAACCGAGCUGAUGAAGUCAUGAACUAUGAUUCUGAUUAUGAUGACACAGACAAUGUUUAUGAUGACACAGAGAAUGUUGAUCUUCAAAUAACAAAGACUAUCGGCGAGGUAUAUUUAUAUAAGCAGGCAUCAUGGUGAUCAUCACAUGUUUUUUUAUUGAAGAUAUAUGAAUGAAUCGAUCUUUCUUCUUUCAGCCCUCCUGAUCGAGCAAAUCUGCUUCUACAGACAGCAAGACAAAACGAGGCCCGGGCAGAUUGUUGAAGGAUGGUGUAAAGUACAACAUCGAAUCCACCAAACCUAGUGGCGAACCCCUCACGCCUAAGAACAUUGCGAACAAGUGGACUCGUCAGUGCGGAGUUCUUAUGAAGGACAAACUCCCGAUCUCAUUCAAGAAUGGAAAGAGCCAAAGACUAAACGUCCAGGUGUUACUUGGGUCGACGACAGAGCCAAAAAAGACCUUUGGGAAUCUCUGAUGGAACAUUUCACCCUACCAGAUCAUUUCACUGAAGCAGAUGUGGAGAAAGUCAAGGGCGCUGCUCUUAAGAACAUGGCAAUUGCAUUCAACACCCACGAGAAAACUGUAUGGGCCAACUACCUCGUUGUAGAAAGGAAGACUCCAGAAUUCACGGGAACACUGGAGAAGCAAAGAGAACACUGGGACGAUUUCGUGAAAUUCAAGGAUUCGGAAUUAUCUAAGGAAUGGUCGAUAAAAAACAAGGCCAAUGCCGCAAAAAAGACACAGUUCCAUAGGCUGGGUCCAGGUGGCUAUGCGGUGGGAAUGGCUAAGUGGGAUAAGUCUGAGCAAGAGAUGGAGGAUGCAGGGGUCACUCCGGUUACUAGGAGCUGGCCCCCCAGGUGCAGAACUUGGUUCUAUGCGCAUGGGGGGCGUUGGACCCGAAGACAGGCUUGGUUUCGCAGAAGGCAAGUCUAAAAGGAGCCAAACAAAAGAUACUUGACGCAAUAGAAGAAGCUCGAAGGGGGGUGUUCAUGCCCAAUAGAGAGAACAAUGAGCUUACACGCGCCCUGGGAAAUCCUGAACACCCGGGAAGAACACGAGGCAAGGGCGUUAUUCCCUGGUAUGAUGGCUUUUCAGAAUGGAACAAGCACUACAGGACCCGUGCAAGAAAGAAGAUGGAGGAGGAGAAGAAGAGGAAGCUGGAGGAGGAGCAGAGGAAGCAGGACGCAGAACGCCUUCAAGGCCUAGAAGCAAGGCACGCGGACUUGGCACUCAAAUUCCAGUAGCAGCAGCAGCAGAUUGACUCACUUAGCUAGGAAAGGGGGUCUUAGCAGCGGCAGCAGCAAGCGGAUGAUCGUCCAGCAUUGGAUAGCACCAUCCCAUCCAUGCCGAGAAGCAGCGUUGGUUCCGCCCCGGGCGACACACUGCUGGAUACAUACCCUAUGGAUGACAUCAUAGAGAACACUAACUGUGAGCUACACUCCAAAAUGAAGAACAUAUCCAUGAAGGUGGCGGAUGGCGUUGCUUUUACAAUUACCCCCGAAGCAACCUUCCAUUGCAUCCCGAUUCCAGAGGGCUAUGCUCGUGUCUUGGUUGAUGAAGUGGUGGACCCAUAUUCGGGGCUACAGCUUGACAUUCCUGGAGGUGAAGACGAGCGCACACUGGGAGAGGCCAAUACAUCUAUCAUCCUAUGGAGAAAGGAUUGCAUCAUCUUUUGAAGUCCACCGACACCGCAUCGUCUGCCAACUCCUCCUCGAAGUCCGUGACCGAAUCAGCAGACUCCCGCUCCUCCAAGUCCACGAACGCGUGAGCCGACUCCUCCUCGAAGUCCGCCACCUCCUCCAAGUCCCCGAACGCGUGAGCUGACUCCUCUGGUUUCAAGUCCGGCACAAUUUUAGGCCACUUCUCCGGUUUAAUGUUUGGCACCGUGUCAGGCCACGCCUCCUGCUUCUAGUCCGGCACAUCGUCAGGCCACUUCUCCUGCUCCAACUCAGCCACGUCAGCCGUCUCUGCCGCCUCAGCAAUCGCAGAAGAGACACGCCGCAGCUAUGGUGCGUAGCGGUACGAGUCGAGGUAGUACAGGAAGUACAGGCGGAGACAAGCGAUAUAAAUAUGGUCCAAGCCUCGCUCCUCUUCCUCAGAGGCCUUACGACAUGACCGAGGAGCAAAACACAGCCAUAGUGCAGGCCCAAGUGGACGCCCAUUUUGGACCGAAACCGGCACCGCCGCCAAAGGAGAAAGUGCCUGAGAGAACGAUUGACCACUUCAUUCGUAUGGCUAGAGCACCAGCUCCCAACCCUGUUGACUCAAACUAUGAGCGCCAAAUCAGGAAGCUACAUCGAGCAUGGCUACAGAAGGAAGCGAGCUCGAGCUCGAGCCAACAAGCAGCUAGCAAAAAAUGCGGGAAAACCGUUCCCCAGCUGGGAGAACAGGCGGCGCAAGCGAUCCCUCCGCUUGUUGUGCCAACAACACAUGAGAGGAGUACGCGCGCCCAAUAUUAUUGUGGGCAAACCGUUAGCGUUCCCCAGCUGGGCGAUGUGGUAAUAACAGAGGAGCAUAUAAUGCAGGCUGAAACGCUCAAGAUCUCUGUUGGACAACUCCUCAAAAUCGAGCCCAUGUCUCCGCUUAGAGAAUCGGAAAUAAAACGGAAAUAUGUCCGGGGCCAACCUUUGGUCGAGCCAGACAAGGUCAAGAACCUCCCAACGAGAAUGUAUGAAUUGCAUCAAUGGUACAUGAACAUUACCAAGAUUUCCAAUCGAGAGUCCCUCAUGGUGAAUGUCAAGCAUGAGCAUUACUACCAUCAGAAAGCUUUGGCCGUUGAGUAUUUAGAACUAUUUCAGUUAUACAAUCAAGAUGCACUCGACAAGUCUCUCGUCAGUUACUAUUGUAUGUAAGUGAUUUCUUUCUGUAAUUUAAGUCUCAAGCUAGCUAUGUAGUGAUAAUUUUGAUCAAUCAUUACAUGUAAUUAUCCUCACUAUAUUCUUUUCUGUGGUAUUAUAUGCAGGAUGAAGAUGUAUGAAAUGAAAAAAUCUGGACGCUAUGGCAUUGGGUUCAUUGACCCAAAUACCAUUAAUGAGUACAUAUGGAAUCUUCCAAUUUAUCAAGCAAGUGUAGAGGAAAGCAUGCUAGAGUUCUUGAAGCGCCUCAAUACCAAUGAAGAUAUACUACUUCCUUACAACUUCAUGUGAGUCACAUUGUCUUGUAAUACAAAUUCUGUUUUUGCUUACUAGCUAGCUAGAUGUUAAUAAUUAAGUGUAUAAGGUUUACGGUAGUUGAUUAAAUUUAUGCACAUGCAGUUACCACUGGAUCUUGUUAGACAUUAAAGUUGACAAAGGAAGAGUUGAAUUACUUGACUCACUACUUAAAGAAGAUAAAGACUACACCAUCGUGAAGGGGAUAGUCAACAGGUAAUUUCAAUCAUUAUUAACUAUAUCUCGGCCUAUUAUUAGUUCAUCAUUUCCUGAUAUGAACUAUUUAAUAACCCCUUUAUUAAUUUUCUUUGCCGGCGGGCAGGGCUUGGGCAAAGUUCAUCAAGGUGACUCCAGGCAAAUGGGCAAAAAAGUUGUUUGGGCAUCGACCAAAGGUAAGUAAUUAAGUAGUACUAGCUAGCUACCAUCUCUUUAAUUCUUGUUUCAAUACCAUUAAUUAAUUAUCAUGCUUGAUUAAUCAUUAUCUGAUUCAAUUCCGUUCUCGUAAAGGCCCUGAAGCAGACGCUGGGGAAUGAUUUGUGUGCAUUCUACGUUUGCGAGAACAUUUGCAUGAUGGCGUCCGAAAGGAGCAGAUCUAAAAGACAAGACUGGGUACGUUUGUCAGAACACUAUUCACACCAUUAUCGAUAUCUAGUCACACAACUAAUACACAUGCAUACUGAUCUCCUUCUUAACAGUUCAGAGAGGUGCGGGAUAAGCUCCUACUAGCGGACCGCAUACUAGCACUUCAAGAGGAAAUAGCCGGAUUUUUGCUCGACCAGGUCAUAGAUCCCAAAGGAGAAUACUAUUACCCGCUACCGCCCCCAUGAACCACUUGUCAUCGUGCUCCGGAGGCACCAAGGCAACAUGUAGGAGAAAUUGUAUAUGUAUAUACAUGUGUAUGUGUGAAUAAUUAAUGGUGUUGGUUGUGAGACAUUCGAUGAUAUAUAUUUAUAUAUAUAUAUAUGCGGUUCUACGUAUGAGAAAAUCUAUUUAUAUAUAUGCAUAACGUAUACAAUUUGUAGUAUCAUGAAAUACCAGCAAACAAAAAAGAAUUAAAUAGAAAAUAAAGCCAACCCCCCCCAAACAUUUAGUACCGGUUGGUGUUACCAACCGGUACUAAUGUCCUACACGCACCCGGGCCUGGCUCGUGCCACAUGGUGACACUUGAGCCGCCGGUUCGUGACAAACCGGUACUAAAGGGGGGACCUUUAGUCCCCACUCUUUAGUGCCGGUUGCCGAACCGGCACUAAAGGUGAAAGAUCGUGGAUGUCGCCUAGAGGGGGGGUGAAUAGGUGCUUUAAAAUAAUUACGGUUGAGGCUUGAACAAAUGCGGAAUAAACCUAGCGGUUGAUUUGUCAAGCACAAAACCUACAACAACUAGGCCCACCUAUGUGCACCAACAACUUAUGCCAAGAAAGAAAACUACUUAGGUGAUAGCAAGAUAUAUGACAAGAAACAAUAUGGCUAUCACAAAGUAAAGUGCAUAAGUAAAGGGCUCGUAUAAAAGAUAACCGAGGCACGCGGAGAUGACGAUGUAUCCCGAAGUUCACACCCUUGCGGAUGCUAAUCUCCGUUUGGAGCGGUGUGGAGGCACAAUGCUCCCCAAGAAGCCACUAGGGCCACCGUAAUCUCCUCACGCCCUCGCACAAUGCAAGGUGCCGUGAUUCCACUAAGGGACCCUUGAGGGCGGUCACUGAACCCGUAUGAAUGGCAACCCUUGGGGGCAGUCACCGGUACCCGUCAAACUGCUCGGGGCGAUCUCCACAACCUAAUUGGAGACCCCGACGCUUGCCCAGAGCUUUACACCACAAUGAUUGAGAUCCGAACACCACCAACCGUCUAGGGCGCACAAGCACCCAAGAGGAACAAGCUCAAGGGCACCAAGCACCCAAGAGUAAUAAGCUUCUCAACUUGUAACUUCCACAUAUCAUCGUGGAGAACUCAAACCGAUGCACCAAAUGCAAUGGCAAGGGCACACGGAGUGCCCAAGUCCUUCUCUCUCAAAUCCCACCGAAGCAACUAAUUCUAGGAAAGAAAAUGAGAGGAAGAACAAGAAGGAGAACACCAAGAACUCCAAGAUCUAGAUCCAAGGGGUUCCCCUCACAUAGAGGAGAAAGUGAUUGGUGGAAAUGUGGAUCUAGAUCUCCUCUCUCUUUUCCCUCAAAAACUAGCAAGAAUCCAUGGAGGGAUUGAGAGUUAGCAAGCUCGAAGAAGGUCAACAAUGAGGGAAGAACACGAGCUCAAAGGAUAAGGUUCAUUGGGGAAGAAGACCCCCUAUUAUAGGACCUCCCUAAUCCAACCGUUAUGUGCUCAGGUCGUGCACAAGCGGUACUACCGCUUGGAGGAGCGGUACUACCGCUUAGCACGGUCAAAACAGCCCAACGAGAGAGAAAACAUGAGUUUUUGGUCCCGAGCGGAAGUAGCCACGGAAGUAGCCGUGGUAGUACUACUCCAAGCGGAAGUACCGCUCCCAAGAGCGGUAGUAAAAAAUUACUUCCGCUCCUGUCCGCGGUAGUACCGUUGCAGCCUUUUCAGAACACCAAAACUGACACAACUUCUGCAAACGGACUCCGAAUUCGACGAAACCAAGUUUGUUGGAAAGCUAGCGACAAAGGAUAACACAAUCUUGAUAGAAAUAUCAAUAAUAAGCAAAUGAGAAAAGGCCCAAAAGAAAAUGGUGAGAACCCUUCCUCGGAUAAGACCGGUAAAACCUCCAAUACCGAAAACAUCAUAGAAGACGCAUGCAAACUCCGUUUUCGAUGAACUCAAGCUUGUCAUCAAGAUGACCAUAAGCUCUAAGACUCACAAUGAGAACCAAACAACAACCAAGAAACAUGAUGCAAGGAUGCAAUGGUUUGAGCUCUCGACGAAUGAUACGAUCAAGCUACUCACUUGAGAGCCCCCCUUGAUAGUACGGCUAUCGAUCCUAUAACCCGGUCUCCCAACUACCACCAUGAGACCGGUAAAAUAGAAAACCUAUCAAGGGAAAACCUUUGCCUUGCACAUGAUCCACUUGAGCUAGAUGAUGACGAUCUUGUCCUCCUCAAGAUGGACCACCUUUCUUGAUUGCGUUGGGUCGAUGGAGACUAGAUUAUUGCUCCCCCAUACUCCACUAUGGGUGAGCCACUCUUCGGCACAUCUUCACAAGUCCAUUGACACCACAAUGGAUGGAAAGCUUCAAGCACUUGAUCUCUUCGUGAUGCUCCACUUGAACUUGCACACAGUAAUCUUGAUGACGAUCACCACUUGAUGUCAUCCUCUCCAUGGGUUGAGUGAUAUCUUCCUCUUGACGCAAGCCCAUGAACACGUACCUAACCCCACAUAGAACUCUCACAUAGACCAUGGGUUAGUACACAAAGCAUAAUGGACAAUGCUUACCAUGCCAUGGGAUCACUUGAUCCCUCUCGGUACAUCUUCUACGCUUUGUGAGUUGAUCAACUUGAUUCACUCUUGACUUAGUCUUGAUCAACCUUGAAUAUUUCCAACUUUCUUCAUUUGGAUGAUGUCUUGAAGGUAAACAUGAAUGAUCACACAAUCUUCUUAUUCAAGACAUGCUUUCAAUAAGCUCAACUCUCACAUGACCAAUCUUUGGAUAAUUCCUUAAUAGCACCUUGGUCAACACAAACUCUCCUUGAAACCAACACAUGUACUCCAAGAAAAGCCUAUGGACAAAACCUUCAAAUAUAACUCAAGGCAACCAUUAGUCCAUAGAUAUUGUCAUCAAUUACCAAAACCAAACAUGGGGGCACCACAUGUUCUUUCAAUCUCCCCCAUUUUGGUAAUUGAUGACAAUCACUUUCAAGAGAGUUUAUAUAAGGAAUUAUGCAUCACCAUGCAAUGCAACAACCAAUGAUGCAUGAGUAAGAGAUGCAAAUGCUUUGGAACAAAACCAAAGCAAGAGGAGAGAAUUCUCUAAACUUCUCCACAAAACUCUCUAAAACUUCUCCCCCAUUGGCGUCGAUUGCCAAAAUGGGAGAAAAGCUUAGAAGGCCAAUAUAAAUUGUGUUCCUCCAUAAUUUGUGUAUUUCUCAACAAGAGAGUGGAAUGCAAUACACAUAUCCAAUGGUAAAUACUUGGAGGAAGACAAACUAUAUUGAGGCCCAAAGAUUACAAAAGGAAGAUAUGCCACAAAGACAUAACAAAGAGAGAAACAAGCAAUCAAGCAAUCAAAAGAUACCUACUAAAGCAAGCUAUCAAAAGAUACCAAUUGAACCAACUAGGCCAAUGAUCCUACGAGCCACAUGAAUAAAGGAUAUUAUGAUGAGAGCAAAGGAGUGAUCUAAAGAAACUAGAGAAUCUCCCCAUGAUUUGUGCACACAUAAGAAUUUUUUGUAUUAGGAUACCAAGUGCACAAAAUAGGAUCAUAGCUCCCCCAAAAUCAAUAGAAACUUACAAUAAGUGCAAGUGAGCAUAUAGGAAACUAAGCCUAGUACUUGCAACAAACACAUGGUUGGGCAACAAGUAAGAGAGGCAACUUAAGAGUGGUCUCAACCAAAAUGAUGUGUGUGAGUCAAGGCAAUGCACUUGAGAAGACUAAUGUACGUAUGGGCAUUAAGCAUCAAUAAAGUCUUGAAGGAAUGAGGCACACCGUGCAAGGCCUAUCAUUCCCACACACACCCACUAGCAAAUGGGUUCAGAAGCUCACUAAAAAGAUAACAACAAAGCUUGCCACAACCCAUGGUGAAUAUAGAAGAUGAAAGCCUCAUCAAGACGAGGGAUACCAAUUAAGAUGGCAAAAGCCUCGUAGAGAUAAGCACGAGGAAAAUAAUCUUCACCACACAAGAGUGCAUCAAGAUGCAAUGAGAUAAGACACGCACUCAAGGCAAAAGCUUUCACGGAGCCACCAAAGAAAUAACAUAAGGAAGACAAGGUGGACGUGAAAGAAAUGAUAUCAUCUAGAGAUGUAGUUUCUCUCAAGUGUAUAAGGUUCCAGGUAGAUGAAAUCAUGAUGAUAUAUAUCUACAAAGAAAGAUAUACACCCAAAAUAGCUACAACAUGAAGGAACAAGAUAUCCAAAAGGAAGUCAUAGAUAUACCAAUAAGAUAUUUGCUUGGAAGCAUAGCACAUGGCUAGAUAAGGUCUUAUUGUAUAUAAAUGAAUUCCUACCACACAACCAUCAAAGACAUCACAACUAGCAACAUGAGAUCAUCGUUGAGAUGCUUUGAGAAAGGAAACAAGUAUCACAAGAUGGAAUGAAUAUCAUGCCAAGAUGCAACCUACACAAGGUUGAAUGCAAGAAAAGAAUGCAUGAAUAGAUACUUGUUACCGAGAUAUCAUUGGAAGGAUGUAGAAGAAACCAAUUGAAGGUAAUAGAUAGUAGUUCAUUGAGUAUCCUAGCUUGACUCCAAUAAGCACAUGGUGACACCACCUUCCUUGUGAAUGAGCCGAGCAUCCAAUGCAUCUCUAGUUGUUCCUAGAACAACACCACAAACAAAAUGGUACCCAAACUCGUUGGGACCAAAGAGUUAGAAAACCAACAAUACAUAUGACAAACUCCACAUAAAUAUGUGCAUAUAGAUAUGAAAAUGAAUUUCAUGCACAUCUCAUCCAAUUUUAUACUUGGUGGAGUUUCCCCUAUAUAUUGGGUCAAAGAGAGAAAGCAUGCCAAGGAAACUACAUGAAGUUAAUAUGCAUGCUCAAGACUUUCAAGAACCGAUAGCAAAAUACAAGGAAAUACCAAGUGAAAAUAAUACCAAAAGGAGAAAUCAUCACUUGGAAGAUAUCAUUAAAAGAUACAACAAGGAAUGAGAUAUCCAUUGGAACCCACAAAACGAUAUCAAACUCCCAAAAGAGAGGAUGGUUCCAAACAAACCAAGCUCUCUACAAAGUUUCAUGAUGGCACAAGUACCAAAAAGAAAUCGCUUGCCGUCCACCAACACACACUUAAAAUGGAUCACAAGUUUAGUGUUUUAUAGAAAAUAGGAUAGCUCCCCCCACGAGUUGUGCAUUAUAGAGAAUUUGCAUUUGAAUACAAAAUACACAAGGUAGGAUCACCACGUUCACUAUAUCAAGGAAAACACUAGACAAGAUCAAGAAAACAGCAAGAUCCUCAAGUGGCACGGAAGGCAAUGGGAGUUGACACAAACUUGGCAAGAGAUAAGGCAAAUAAAAAGCAAACGCCAACGUGAAGAUGAUCAAUAAUUUCUACCACACAUAAGUGAGUACCAAUUGUCAAAAGACAAGAAGUAUUUGGAAAUAAUUCCCGGUGGUAGAUAGCAAGGAUAUCCAACAUCAUCUUCACACCAAACACAAGCAAAUUUCAACUUGUAGAGCUAACAUGCCACCUAGUAACAAGAUAAUUUACAAUAUCAAUUCUAGGUGACAAUAUCUCAAAUGUACACAUUUUCUAGGCUAGUAAUAUACACAUAGAAUAUUACUCCCCCAUAAUGUGAUACCAAUUAAAGAUAAACAAGAGGCAAAAUAAAGACCCAACAUGAGAUAAUUAAUGGACAAAUUAGAAUUUCAAUUUCUCAUGAGAAGACAUACCACAUAGAGACUAGAUAAUCUUGUAAUAUAAAUACUAGAUGGUAUUACUCAUGUACACACAUUUAUAGGAUUGUGAGGUGUACAAAGCACAUCACUCCCCCAUAAUGGGAUAUUCCAUUAAUCUCUCACAAGAGCCAACUGAGAUACAAACAAGAUGCAUAAAGGCUCAACGAAUGACACACAUGUACAUGAAGUGCAAACCAACAUACAUAAACUUGAUUACUCAAGAAAAGCAAUUUGGAGACACAACACAUACAAACACAUGCAAGGAACAAAACCAAAACAUCCAAAGGGGCAAGUAACUUUCAAUGUAAACAAUUUAACUACAAGUUACUGCAAGGAGGCACAUUGGAUAUAAGAUAGAAACUUGAUAACCCAAUUGACUUGGCUUGAGACAAUAAGAAUGAUGAAGUCCCCUUAAUUCUUCAUAAUGUAGCCAAAUCUCCAAUAACCUCCAACAAUACCUAUUGAUCAAGUUUGAGCUAGUUGGUCCCCAACCAAGUUGGGUCCUAAGAGGUUAGUCACAAUAGGCUUGGCUACCCAAAUGGUUCUUUGCUUCAAACCGCUUUGAGUACCAACAAACUUGGCAACCAUAUUGCCAACCUUAUCCUUCCCAAGAGAAUAGACAUCAUCAAUAAUAAUUGGGUUGGAUAAGUUACCACUAGUGCAUGAAGAAGCGAGGUGACCUUUCUCACGACAUAUGUAGCAACGUCUACUCUUCACUUUCUUCUCACUUGAUUUCUCAACUUGAGAAGCAUUAGCUUGAGUCUUCUUGGGAAGAGGCCUUUCUUCAACUUGAGGUUGAGCAUGAGAAUGCACUUGUAGCCGCUUCCCUUGUUGCUUGUCACUAACGGCCUUCUUCUUCAAUGGGCAAGAUCUAACAUGAUGCCCUUGAAUUUUGCACUUGAAGCAAAUAAUCUUGGUCGAAUUCUUGACGUGUUCUUGGCCCUUCUUCUUGUUCAUCUUGGACUUCUUCUUCUUGUUGGAGUUGAAUCCAAGUCCACUUUUUUCAUUGGGGGAUUUUUGCACACUCAAGAUAUUGUUGAGUGUGGAUUUCCCUUCAUGACACUUUUCCAUGUCUUUCUUCAAGGAAGUGACUUGGGCCUUGAGUUCUUUGAUUUCCUCUACAUGGUUAGUCUCAACACAAGUACUAGAGGAAGUAUAAGCUUCAUCAUUGGAGCAACAAGGCAAGGAAAGCAAUUCAUCACAAGAUGUACCAAUGUUAUGCAUAGACGAAUUACGAGGACUAGCACAAAGCAAUAUAGCAUGUUGACUAAAAGUAGUGCUAAUGUCCACAUGAGGCUCACUCGAUGUUACCUUAGCAAUCAUAGCCUCGUGAGCUAACUUUAGCACAUUAUGGGAUACUAGGAGAUCAUCAUGAGAGCUUGUGAGCUUUACAUGAUUUUCUUCCAACAUCCCAUAAUUGCUAGAUAGCAACUCAAGUUGAGCCCUUAGCUCAAUAUUCUCCUUCAAUAUGGAUGCUUCACAAGAGAUAGAGUUAGUAGCACAAGCAUCAUCAUUAGCAACAAGAGGAGAAGACAACUUGGCAACCACCAACCGUCUAGGGCGCCCAAGCACCCAAGAGGAACAAGCUCAAGGACACCAAGCACCCAAGAGUAAUAAGCUUCUCAACUUGUAACUUCCACGUAUCACCGUGGAGAACUCAAACCGAUGCACCAAAUGCAAUGGCAAGGGCACACGGAGUGCCCAAGUUCUUCUCUCUCAAAUCCCACCGAAGCAACUAAUGCUAGGGAAGAAAAUGAGAGGAAGAACAAGAAGGAGAACACCAAGAACUCCAAGAUCUAGAUCCAGGGGGUUCCCCUCACAUAGAGGAGAAAGUGAUUGGUGGAAAUGUGGAUCUAGAUCUUCUCUCUCUUUUCCCUCAAAAACUAGCAAGAAUUCAUGGAGGGAUUGAGAGUUAGCAAGCUCGAAGAAGGUCAACAAUGGGGGGAGAACACAAGCUCAAAGGAUAAGGUUCAUUGGGGAAGAAGAUCCCCUUUUAUAGGACCUCCCGAAUCCAACCGUUAUGUGCUCAGGUCGUGCACAAGCGGUACUACCGCUUGGAGGAGCGGUACUACCGCUUAGCAUGGUCAAAACAGCCCAACGAGAGAGAAAACACGAGUUUUUGGUCCCGAGCGGAAGUAGCCACGGAAGUAGUCGCGGUAGUACUGCUCCAAGCGGUAGUAAAAAAUUACUUCCGCUCCUGUCCGCGGUAGUACCGCUGCAGCCUUUUCAGAACACCAAAACUGACACAACUUCUGCAAACGGGCUCCGAAUUCGAUGAAACCAAGUUUGUUGGAAAGCUAGAGACAAGGGAUAACACAAUCUUGAUAGAAAUAUCAAUAAGAAGCAAAUGAUAAAAGGCCCAAAAGAAAAUGGUGAGAACCCUUCCUUGGAUAAGACCGGUAAAACCUCCAAUACCGAAAACAUCAUAGAAGACGCAUGCAAACUCCGUUUUCGAUGAACUCAAGCUUGUCAUCAAGAUGACCAUAAGCUCUAAGACUCACAAGGAGAACCAAACAAAAACCAAGAAACAUGAUGCAAGGAUGCAAUGGUUUGAGCUCUCGACGAAUGAUACGAUCAAGCUACUCACUUGAGAGCCCCCCUUGAUAGUACGGCUAUCGAUCCUAUAACCCGGUCUCCCAACUACCACCAUGAGACCGGUAAAAUAGAAAACCUAUCAAGGGCAAACCUUUUCCUUGCACAUGAUCCACUUGAGCUAGAUGAUGACGAUCUUGUCCUCCUCAAGAUGGACCACCUUUCUUGAUUGCGUUGGGUCGAUGGAGACUAGAUGAUUGCUCCCCCAUACUCCACUAUGGGUGAGCCACUCUUCGGCACAUCUUCACAAGUCCAUUGACACCACAAUGGAUGGAAAGCUUCAAGCACUUGAUCUCUUCGUGAUGCUCCACUUGAACUUGCACACAGCAAUCUUGAUGACGAUCACCACUUGAUGUCAUCCUCUCCAUGGGUUGAGUGAUAUCUUCCUCUUGACGCAAGCCCAUGAACACGUACCUAACCCCACAUAGAACUCUCACAUAGACCAUGGGUUAGUACACAAAGCACAAUGGACAAUGCUUACCAUGCCAUGGGAUCACUUGAUCCCUCUCGGUACAUCUUCUACGCUUUGUGAGUUGAUCAACUUGAUUCAGUCUUGACUUAGUUUUUAUCAACCUUGAAUAUUUCCAACUCUCUUCAUUUGGAUGAUGUCUUGAAGGUAAACAUGAAUGAUCACACAAUCUUCUUAUUCAAUACAUGCUUUCAAUAAGCUCAACUCUCACAUGACCAAUCUUUGGAUAAUUCCUUAAUAGCACCUUGGUCAACACAAACUCUCCUUGAAACCAACACAUGUACUCCAAGAAAAGCAUAUGGACAAAACCUUCAAAUAUAACUCAAGGCAACCAUUAGUCCAUAGAGAUUGUCAUCAAUUACCAAAACCAAACAUGGGGGCACCGCAUGUUCUUUCAAAAGGCCGUUACGAACUGGCACUAAAGGUCGGUUCUGCACUAGUGUUAUAAGAAGAAUCGCCCCAAUCAUGAUCAUUGCAACAAGUAGUAGACAUAGCAAAAUUAGCAUCCCCAAGCUUAGGGUUUUACAUAUCAUUAACACAACUGACAUUAAUAAAAUUUAUAAUAACAUCAUUGCAAUCAUGCUUUUCAUUCAAGGAGCUAUCAUGAAUCACUUUAUAAAUUUCUUUUAACACUUCAUCACAAAUUUCAAAUUCACGAAUUUCAAGCAAAACCUCAUAAAGAUAAUCUAGUGCACUCAACUCACUAGCAAUUGGUUCAUCAUAAUUGGAUCUUCUAAAAAGAUUAGCAAGUGGAUGAGGAUCCAUAAAUCUCUUUUUUUCUGAAUUGCAAUAAACAGAAUUAUGCCAAGCAAACGAGCAAACAAACCAAGUAAGACAUAAAGACAAACGGAAAGAAGGCAAAUAAAAAGGUAAAUAUUUUUGUGUUUUUCUGAAAACAUUUAAGAAGUGGGGGUGAAAACUAGAAGCAAAUGGCAAAUAAUGUAAGUGCAAGAGAUGAGAGUUUAUGAAAAGUACUUGGUAGGCUUGAUGUAGAACCUCCCCGACAAUGGCGCCAGAAAUUCUUCCUGCUACUUCUUGAGCUUGCGUUGAUUUUUCCCUUGAAGAGGAAAGGGUGAUGCGGCAAAGUAGAGAUAAGUAUUUCCUUCAGUUGAGAACCAAGGUAUCAAUCCAGUAGGAGGCACAAGACUAUGCACCUGCACAAACUAACAAACACUUGCACACAACGCGAAAAAGGGGUUGUCAAUCCCUUCAUGGUCACGAACAAGAGUGAGAUCUGAUAGAUAGAUAUAAAACAAAUAAAAGUAAAUAAAACUCAGCGAGGUAUUUUCGUAUUUUUGGUUUUGUAGAUCUGAAAAUAAUAGAUGGAAAAUAGACCGGGGGCCAUAGGUUUCACUAGAGGCUUCUCUCUCGAAAGAAAACAUACGGUGGAUAAACAAAUUACUAUCGAGCAAUUGAUAGAAAAGCGCAAAGUUAUGACAAUAUCUAAGGCAAUGAUCAUGAAUAUAGGCAUCACGUCCGUGACAAGUAGACCGACUCCUGCCUGCAUCUACUACUAUUACUCCACACAUCGAUCGACUCCUGCCUGCAUCUAGAGUAUUAAGUUCAUAAGAACGUAGUAACGGUUUAAGCAAGAUGACAUGAUGUAGAUGGAUAAACUCAAGCAAUAUGAUAUAAACCCCAUCUUUUUACCAUUGAUGGCAAUAAUACAAUAUGUGCCUCGCUACCCUUUCUAUCACUGGGUCAGGACACCGCAAGAUCGAACCCAAAACUAAACACCUCUCUCAUUGUAAGAACUACCAAUCUAGUUGGCCAAACCAAACCAAUAAUUCGAAGAGAAAUACAAAGAUAUCAAAUCAUGCGUAUAAGAAUUCAGAGAAGACUCAAAUAAUAUUCAUAGAUAAUCUGAUCAUAAAUCCACAAUUCAUCUGAUCUCGACAAACACACCGCAAAAGAAGAUUACAUCAGAUAGAACUCCAAGAACAUCGAGGAGAACAUUGUAUUGGAGAUCAAAUAGAGAAAAGAAGCCAUCUAGCUACUAGCUAUGGACUCGUAGGUCUGUGGUAAACUACUCACGCAUCAUCAGAAGGGUAGUAAGGUUGAUGUAGAAGCCCUCCGAGAUCGAAUCCCCCUCCAGCAAAGUACCGAAAAAGGCCUCCAAAUGGGAUCUCACGAGGUCAGAGACCUGCGGCGGUGGAAAAGUGGUUUUGUGGAUACUUUUAGGGUUUUGGGAAUAUUUCUGAAUUUAUAGGCCGAGGUAGGAGGUCAGGGGGUCUCCGCGGGGUCCACAAGCCCCCCCGGGCGCGCCCCCCUGGCUUGUCGUCUCCUCGAGGACUCUCUGACUUGGACUCCAAGUCCUACGUGUGUCUUCUGGUCCAAGAAAAAUCAUCACGAAAGUUUUAUUCCGUUUGAUAUUCAUUUUCCUGAAAAACUAAAAAAAACAGAAACUGACACUGGGCUCUAGGUUAAUAAGUUAGUCCCAAAAAUAAUAUAAAAUUACAUAUUAAUGCAUAUAAAAUAUCCAAAACAAAUAAUAUUAUAGCAUGAAACAAUCAAAAAUUAUAGAUACAUUGAAGACGUAUCAGCCACCACCUUCCCUUGGGCACCCGUGGACUUCGUCAGCGGCCCCUCCAGCGGCGGCGAAGCGAUGGACCUGGUGGCGGCGGCGGCGCUAGGGUUCCCCGUGUCACCCGGGGCGACGCGGGGGCCACCUUCCCUUGGGCACACUUGGACUUCGUCAACGGCCCCUCUAGCGGCGGCGAAGUGAUGGACCUGGUGGUGGCGACGGCGAGGGUUCCCCGUGUCACCCAGGCCGUGAGGGACCUAACAGCGUUCCAAUUCGACAGUCAAAGGCUGGCCGCGCUGGAGGCUUCAAUCCUUUCUGGCAGUCUCUAUGUUUUGAACCUAUCUCACGACUUUGUUAGUUCCAUGGAGGAUUUGAGACGAUGAAGAAUAACAUGGCAAAAACAUAAGGUCAUGCAUUUUGACACCAACAUGUUAUCCCAAAGACAAUCGAACAGAACACACCAGCAAUUGGCAAUGACCAUAAGAUCAACCCUUGAUGUAAUGAUAUACUUGUGGCGAACAUGCAAUCAAGAAUUGGACCACUUGUAGUCUUGUAUACAUACAUAUAUUGCAUAGUCCAAAACGGAUGAACACCAGCUGAGGUCCAACAUUUGCCACAGAUUGGCAUUGAUUGUUACACAGGUCACAAAGGUAAUCACAAAAUUCCGGGUACAGUUGAUUCUCUCGUGAUGCGGCGCCGGUCGCAAAGAGCAAAACAGUAAAACAAAAGGAACAGCACAAUACAUAUGAGCAAAUACAUAUCACUUUUUAUCUAGCUAGUUUCCUCCACACGGUGCGACCACGGUUGAUCUCGUCCCCAGCCCCAGCAAAUCUCAAGCAGUGCAAGAACUGACGCUGCUCUUCUGGGUGCGGCGCUGAAAACAGAGAUCCAUUAGAAUUUAUCUCCUCCCCUUCCUCUAUAUAGGUGAGAGAAUCGACUAUGUCAUCAUGCUGGCACUCUCUUCUGUAGUCAAGAGUGAUUGUUUGCAACUCAUGGGUAUCAAUAAUAUCUUGAGGUAUGCUCUGUGGUUUGAGAGGAAAAAUAAAAGAGAUAUCAGAAAACUAUCACAAAUCAACAAGGAUACAUUUAUACAUGUUUCCAGCGAGUGAUUGUUUACAGAGGGAGUAUUAAGGAAUAACCAAAUAAGUGAUAGUGAACUACUCAAGAUAUCUAUCUCAAUAAAGGAAGUUUGAAAACAGGAUAACUCAGGCAAAAGGAGGAACAGUGAACUGAUGAUUACAAAAAGGGCUGCUGGAAAACUCACUUCGAGGACCCAACCAAUGUAAGUGACAUUAUUGACAUGUUGGUUCAUGUCCAGAUCAGCUCUUCUAGGCUGCAAUUCAGAAAUCAAGGCAUGUCAGCAUUACAGUUGCUCAAGCGCAGGGCAUAACAACCAUCCAUAAAGGGGAGAAAAACUAACCACUAGACCGAGCCUCGAGUGCUGUGCAGGAUCUGUUAGAACAGGAAUCUUCUUCAGACUGCCAUUAUUUUCCUCAGGGAAUGCUAAUCUGCACAACGGUAAUUUGUUAUCUGUGUCUACAAUGGGGAAAAAAUAUUAUAGCAAUUUUCAAGUUAUUCAAGAACAUUUAUCCAUUGAAUCACAUAAGACCAUAAGAGUGUGCAGUGAAGCACAUUUGAAGUAUAAAAGAAGCGAUACUAUCUCGGUUCAAACCUAAAGAAGAGGAAAAUAUGAGUACCAAUUUACCUUGGACUCUUCGGACAGUGGAUAAACACCUCAUCCCUGACUUCGUCACUGACUCUUUGAAGUCUGCGUGUAUUUUGGUUCAUCAUGACCCACUUGCUGGAAAAACAAGUGAACUUCAUUACUUGUGCUGAGCACAGUGAGAGAUCUAGCUCUGUACUAAACUACUAUUAAACUUCAGUUACGUAAACAUGUGUUGAACAGCUCAACAAAGUCCCUAACCGAUCCUCCUUCUUAAGCAUGGAUCAUUAGGGCUGCUAUUAAGUCAACAAGCAGCAAAUAAGUACAGCAUACCACAUCAAAUAAAGUAUACUGCAAGAACAAUUGGAAAGUCUGAUUACUGUCUUAGAAACUUACUUUGCUAGAUUUGCAUGGAGAAGAAAAGGUACAGAUAACAAGGUGGAGAUGAAGUUAAAAAAGGCAAGACAUAUAGUUAGUUAUAAAACAGGUACAAAACAAUUACUUGUCCUUUUUUUUCUUCUUCCACUACACAUAAAAGUGGUUCUAACUGUGAACAAGCAUGAUGAGUAUCUCUAACGGAACAAAAAAGCUUAAGCUUCACAAUUGAGCAGCAUGUACCUGGUAGCUCUUCCAAUAACUUCACCAUUAGCUAAAUCCUUAAGGAUCCAAUCACGCCGAGUACCGAUCUUUCCAUCAGCUUGGCACCAUGUUUCAAUCUCAACAACGUCACCCCUAUACAUAGCAGAAUUACCGCAGUCAGGACUAAAUCCUGUUUCAAGAAGAACGGCAGGAACAAAUACUAUCUUUAUCUUGCAAAUUUACCAAGCGGGGUAUUUGUAGAUCUCAAUGUGCAUCCUAUUUGUGACCCAAAUGAGUCCAAGUUCUCUCAUUGUUGUAGUCGUGGCAAAACCGUCGGUGGAGAACCCAACGCUUUGUGCAUGAUUACACCCUACCUCCUGCAGUUACAAGAAAGCUUACCACAAACAGGCCAUAAAAGAGAAAAUAACAAGACCAUUAUCGACAAGCCCGCCAUUAUGCCAUGACAGAUGGAUCACCCAGGACGUUAGUAUCUCCUUAGAAUCAUUAGAGUUACAUUUCUUAGCAUACUUAUAAUGAAAUGUUAAUUGAUUUAUUUAUUUUGAGAACGGAGAUUAGUUGAUUAUAUGCCAAAGCAAGCAAAUCCACAAGAUUCGGUAACAGCCCCACCAAAAUUCUUCCAGCACGCAGAAUUACUUGAACUGAGUCAAUCCACAAUAGCACUGGUGUUCCCUAUCAGAUCUUUGAGCACAGGAUUUCAAGAGCCCAGGCUUUAGUUAACCAUGGACAAAGGAAAAGUCAUACUACUCCGGUUAGCAGUGUGUGGCACUUACGGACGACGAGCAAAAUUCUGUGGGUGAUAUCGCGGGCGCUAGGAUAGCUAACUUGUUCAAGCUCGAGCUCAACUUAGAAAAAUGGCAAGCAGCAAACGUUUGAGUAUAAUGGUACUAACUAGGAGCUCCCCUUGGUAAAUUCUAAUCGAGACACAGCAGCAGGAGCUCUGAAUCUGCCGCAAGUCUGAAGCUACGAAAAUUCAGAUCCGAACCCCUGGCUCUUGAGACCCCCAAGGGGGGUGGGCGAUGGCAUCUCAUUUCGCAGUCCAGCAGACAGGCCGGCACGAAUCGAGCUUCCUUCCCGGAUCUCCUUGGGGGGCGGAGAGAGAGGGGGAGAGAAUUGAGGAGCCGCGCGCGUACCUGGAGGAGGUUUGCGAUGGUCUCGACGGUGGCGGUCUUGUUGAUGCCGACCUCGUAGCAGCGCACGAUGAAGCUCUCCUUGUAGGAGAGGCCGUCCUCGAGGAGGCUCCCCAUCCGCAGCCGCUCCGCCAGGCCGGGCCGCUCCACCCCCUCGCGCCCCUCGGCCGUGGCCACCGCCGCGGCGACCUGCGCCGCCGCCGCCGCAGCCGCCACGGUCCCCCGCGACGGGGCCCGCGCGGCGCAGCGCACCGCCGCGGGCGCCGUGGCCGCCCGGGGCAGGCCGCGGCGGCCGAGCGGGGCCGGGCCGCAUUGCGGCGGGAUGUGGCAGCGCAGCAUGGGGGGNNNNNNNNNNNNNNNNNNNNNNNNNNNNNNNNNNNNNNNNNNNNNNNNNNNNNNNNNNNNNNNNNNNNNNNNNNNNNNNNNNNNNNNNNNNNNNNNNNNNNNNNNNNNNNNNNNNNNNNNNNNNNNNNNNNNNNNNNNNNNNNNNNNNNNNNNNNNNNNNNNNNNNNNNNNNNNNNNNNNNNNNNNNNNNNNNNNNNNNNNNNNNNNNNNNNNNNNNNNNNNNNNNNNNNNNNNNNNNNNNNNNNNNNNNNNNNNNNNNNNNNNNNNNNNNNNNNNNNNNNNNNNNNNNNNNNNNNNNNNNNNNNNNNNNNNNNNNNNNNNNNNNNNNNNNNNNNNNNNNNNNNNNNNNNNNNNNNNNNNNNNNNNNNNNNNNNNNNCGGUUCCACCGCUCCCCGGCACCGGGUCGGGUCGGGUCGGGAUCGGGGUCGGGUGGGAAAUGCAGUUUUUUUUUUUUUGAGGAUCGGGAAAUGCAGUUUUGGUGCUUCCAGACAGUGAAAGCUGCGAUGGAUGGACGGACGGAUCACGGAUCGCGGCACGUGAGCGAGAUCUCCCUGCUUCUUCUCUCUGGUGCAACGCAAGCACGUGCCCUGGCGCUUGAGUAAUGCCUGCACACACUUGAGGCAAGUCGUCGAUAAAGAGUACCCCCGUGGACAGGGGUAGAAUAAUUAAUAAGGGCUUCUUUGGAUCACGGGAUUUGCAAAACAAAGGAAUAGGAAAAAUGAAGGAUUUGAUUGGCAUGACAUAGCCAAUCCUGUGGAUUUUUUCCAGAGGUCAGACCUCAUGUGUAAAUUCCUUUGGAAUCAGCACCUUGAAGACCCAAUCCUGAGGAAUUUUAAUGGCCCAAUCCUUUGAUCCAAAUGCGUUUCAUAGGAAACAAUCCUGAAGAUUGAUAUCCCAUGAAAAUCCUGUGAAAAUCCUCCAAUCCAAAGAAGGCCUAAUGGACCGAGUACAUGUGUUAGGUGGGCUCCUACUGUCCUCCAGUGUCAUUUUUCAAGGUGGGAUUACCUAACAAAAGAAUGGCAUUGGUCUCUGCCUGAUCAAAGUUUUACUAUUGGCUGAUGCCCAUGAGGGUUUAAGUUCUAGACUUAACACGUAUUGUUCUGAACUUUAUUUUAGACAUUCUGAUGAUGUGCGUUCAGUGAAAGAAGACGUUCCCGUUGACUACAAAGGCGUCUAUGGCGACUUCGUCAAUCUAAAGAUAACGUGACGGUUCAAUCUUUGGAAUGCGCUCAUUGGGGUAGGGUGUGCAUGCAUGCCUUCAUAGGGUAAAUGUGUCUAUAUUUUUUUUUCUAACAAAUUACUAUCAAUACUAUCAUUUACACAAACUUAAUACAACCCCAAAAAAUUGUGCCUCGGCACCGCUUCCUUCGUUGCCAUUGUGGUAUAACACAUUUUUUUUAUCUUUUUUCUCGAAAAGGAUCCAGAUCUUUUGAGACCAUCAAACGACCACUAUCGUCGUCAGAACAAGUCGUCGUCGGUUCGUUGUCGUCGCUCCUCUGUUGGAGCCGGUUUGAUGACCAGCAUUCUAGAGCCGCGGUCGUCGCUGUUGAACCCUUGAAUAGAUCUGAAUCACCUGACAUCAAAUCUCACCACAUGACGAGAAACCCCUCACCACCCCAAGAAAAUGGCAGGAAUCUACGUUGGAGUUUCGCCAACUACGUUUAAAUGGAUAAACCCAAGAAGGAUCAGAGUCCGAAAAACAAAUUCGAAGAAGAAACACUGUCAUCUACCUGAGCGUCGCACCUGCAUGGAAUAGAAAACCUAACAUAAACUACUACUUAAACAGGAGCGGAGCCACCGGGAUUCCUCUCCCGCUACUGGUCACAAGAGCGGUAGGCAAAGGGGGAGGUAUCCACAUGCUUACAUCGCCACGCAUCCACGUACAUGCCCAUCCCGGGUUCAAUUAGGUUCUUAGCAUAAGUCAGCGACAGAGAACUAAAAUGAAGGAGAGAAGAAUCGAUAUUGAAUGGUUCCAUGCAUGCAGCUGGCCGGUGUGCCCGGCUGCCAUGACGCUGAUCAAUCAGACGUCACUUUUUUUUUGAAUUUUCAACCGGGGGGGGGGGGAGUAAUCGCCCCCACCUGAAUUGUAUUCUUUUAUUGCCUAUAGACUUUGCAGCCUAAUACAAGAUAGGGUUCAAGUAAACCAAAAGUACAGGGGGGCACAGGAAGGAGAAAUAAAAGCAAAAACAACACAUGGUGAGGGGGGACACAACACAACAGGGGGCACCACGGGCGCUCGAACUGCAGCGGCGGGCCAAGACUAAACCAUGACACUGCACCGUCGACGCAAUCGAGAAGCACCGGGCAACCGAGACUGCACAACGCCGCGACACCACCUGCGUCAUGGGGUACAUUCGAACGGUCACGCCGGGCCGAGACGACGCCACGGCACCUGUGUGCCACCGGCGUAGUCGAAGGGCAUCACCAAGCAUAGAACUCCACAAGGCACACCCAAGACAUCACAAGACCGGGGGAUGAAGACAGCGCCAUCAAGAUGGAAACAACGGGAAGCGUCGCCGUUGUCUCGGCCAGCAGCAGCUGGCCGACCAUGGAUUUCUCCCAAACCCCGGCCACAUCCUCCUCCGAGGAGACGCAGAGCAACCGCCAAUAGCGCCAAGCAGCACUGGGAUGGACGGCCCCAGAUCCGGGCGAAUCCAACCGGCAGCGACGCCGGCAGGCACCCUUGACGCCGAGAGCCACCAGUGAGGACCACUGGUGCGGCGCCCCCUGCAGGUGAAGCCACGAGACAGUGACAACCCAUCGGGGGAUCUGGGAGGUGGAGGGCUCCCAAGGCAGAGAGCCACGACGCCACCUUCGUUUGGCGAGCCCGCAGAGGAGCACGACGACAACAGAACGAGCAGUGGCGGAGGAGGAAGGAGGAGCCGCGUGGCGGAGCACGGGACGGGGCACAGGGGCAAGGCCUCCAGAUCGGACACUGCCAUGGCAGGCCCAACACGGGGAAGGUCGGGGACGGAGACACCCAUCAACGGCAAGGCCCGGCGCGGACAUGCCCGGCCAGCCGCCACGAGAGGAGAGCCGGCGCGAGCAGCGCGGCAGAGGCACGAAUUGGAGGGGGAACCACCGGUCUUGGGCGCCGCCGGAGCCAGCUCGCAGUGCAGCAUGGGAGGUGGUCGAUGCCGACGGUGGAGAGGGACGAGAUCCAACAGGGGGAGCAUGCCGGAGCCGAGGCAGCCAAGCGGGAUGGCGGCGGGUCCGAAUCCGGCCACGGACAGCGCCCCCGAGCAGGAGGAGGGGCGGAUCCGGAGGCUGGCAAGCCAGAUCCGGCACGGGAAAGGGUGGGAGAGACCAGCUCUGGGCGCCCGCCAUGGCCAUGUCGACGAGCUUCGAUUUGAAUUUGAAGGAGUGGGUGGGGGUGGUCUGGACGGGAGGAACCUCGCCGCCGCUGGCUUCGCCCGGCGGCCUCCUCCGGCGACGGCGAGGAGAGAGAGUGGCGGAGAAGGGCGGAGGGUAGGUGGCGGCGGCGGCCUCCAGAGUCGCCCGAGGAGAGCGGCCCGGGAGGCUCUCUUUUCCUCAAAGAUCAAUCAGACGUCACUAGCUAGCUAGAUGCCCAUGUUUUCGAUCGUGGUCACACUGAAAUCCUCGAUUGCCCGUAGUAGCCUAGUUGAAUUAAUGUAAGGUCUAUCCGAUUUGUUUCUGGUCAGGGGCAGUAAAAAAAUCUCGAUUAGACGCUGCCUCUGGACCAAGCACAUACAGAGUUAAAAUGUACUCCUCUGACAUGUCGUUAAUUAACGUCACUGGUAGAAAAAGAGGCUUCCGUCCAGCCCCAUUAGUCGCGAAACUGUAGGAACCGCGACUAAUGAAGUCUUUAGUCGCGGUUCGGCAGACGAACCGCGACCAAAGGCUUGGGCCAGGGCGCUCGGUGGCCAGCUGGUGCACGUGAGGGGCUUUAGUCGCGGUUGGCCAGGCCAACCGCGACUAAAGGUGCCCAAAGGCCUUUAGUCGCGGUUGGCCUGGCCAACCGCGACUAAAGCUCCUCCCCUAUAUAUACCAGUUCAGCGCACUCACUUAGCCAUUUGGUGCCACUUCUCUUCACAAGGGGGUGUAGGUUUGCUUUUGGUUCCUCUUAUGCACACAAGGUGUUUGAUGAAAUGCCCAACAGCGUGAAACAAACAUGAUAUGAAGUGUUGGAGGCACACUUGAGGUUCCUCCUCGAUCGCGGUUAGCAACUUGAACCUUUCAUGCAUGUGUGUCAUUGAUAAAAUAUGCAUGUGUGUUGUUCAUUGUUUAAUUUCUAUUGUUUAUAGCUAGUUACUUUAACAAAUGCAUGAUGGUUAAUUAUAUAUUUUAUAUUAUAAUAAUGCAGAUGAAUCGGCAAUGGAUGUACGGUAACCGACUCUCCCGCGAGUUCACUACGGGUUUGAAAGAUUUCCUCGUAGUGGCUAAUGCGAACAAGCAGAAGGGUUUUGUUAUCUGUCCAUGUGUUGACUGUAAGAAUCAGAAGGGUUACUCUUCCUCAAGAGAAGUUCACCUGCACCUGCUUCGGCACGGUUUCAUGCCAAGCUAUAAUUGUUGGACCAAGCAUGGAGAAAGAGGGGUUAUAAUGGAAGAAGAUGAAGAAGGGGAUGAUUUCAUCGAUGAAAGCUAUCUUGCUCAUUUCGGUGAUACUUUCAUGGAGGAUGCUGAAGGUGAAGGGGAAGGUGAAGGGGAAGGUGAAGGGGAAGGUGAAGGGGAAGGGGAAGGUGAAGGUGAAGAAGAGGCACGUGAUGAGACCGUUGAUGAUCUUGGUCGGACCAUUGCUGAUGCACGGAGACGCUGCGAAACUGAAAAGGAGAGGGAGAAUUUGGAUCGCAUGUUAGAGGAUCACAGAAAGUCAUUGUACCCUGGAUGCGAUGAUGGUCUGAAAAAGCUGGGCUGCACACUGGAUUUGCUGAAAUGGAAGGCACAGGCAGGUGUAGCUGACUCGGCAUUUGAAAACUUGCUGAAAAUGUUGAAGAAUAUGUUUCCAAAGAAUAACGAGUUGCCCGCCAGUACGUACGAAGCAAAGAAGGUUGUCUGCCCUCUAGGUUUAGAGGUUCUGAAGAUACAUGCAUGCAUCAACGACUGCAUCCUCUACCGCGGUGAAUACGAGAAUUUGAAUGAAUGCCCGGUAUGCACUGCAUUGCGUUAUAAGAUCAGAGGCGAUGACCCUGGUGACGAUGUUGAGGGCGGGAAACCCAGGAAGAGGGUUCCCGCCAAGGUGAUGUAGUAUGCUCCUAUAAUACCACGGUUGAAACGUCUGUUCAGGAACAAAGAGCAUGCCAAGUUGUUGCGAUGGCACAAAGAGGACCGUAAGUCGGACGGGGAGUUGAGACACACCGCAGAUGGAACGCAAUGGAGAAAGAUCGACAGAGAGUUCAAAGAUUUUGCAGCUGACGCAAGGAACAUAAGAUUUGGUCUAAGUACAGAUGGCAUGAAUCCUUUUGGCGAGCAGAGCUCCAGCCAUAGCACCUGGCCCGUGACUCUAUGCAUCUACAACCUUCCUCCUUGGUUGUGCAUGAAGCGGAAGUUCAUUAUGAUGCCAGUGCUCAUCCAAGGUCCGAAGCAACCCGGCAACGACAUCGAUGUGUACCUAAGGCCAUUAGUUGAUGAACUUUUACAGCUGUGGGGCAGACCUGGUGUCCGUGUGUGGGAUGAGCACAAAAAAGAGGAAUUUAACCUACGAGCGUUGCUUUUCGUAACCAUCAACGAUUGGCCUGCUCUUAGUAACCUUUCGGGACUGUCAAAUAAGGGAUACAAUGCAUGCACGCACUGCUUACAUGAGACUGAAAGUGUACAUUUGCCAAAUUGUAAGAAGAACGUGUACCUUGGGCAUCGUCGAUUUCUUCCGAAAAUUCAUCCAGUAAGAAAGAAAGGCAAGCAUUACAACGGCAAGGCAGAUCACCGCCGAAGCCUGCGGAACGCACUGGUGCUGAGGUAUUUGAUAUGGUCAAGGAUUUGAAAGUCAUCUUUGGAAAGGGUCCUGGCGGACAAUCAGUUCCGAAGGGAGCUGACGGGCACGCAGCCAUGUGGAAGAAGAAAUCUAUAUUCUGGGAGCUAGAAUAUUGGAAAGUCCUAGAAGUCCGCUCUGCAAUCGACGUGAUGCACGUUACGAAGAAUAUUUGCGUGAACCUCCUAAGCUUCUUGGGCGUGUAUGGGAAGACAAAUGAUACAAAGGAAGCACGGCAGGACCAGCAACGUUUGAAAGACCCUGAUGACCGGCAUCCGGAAUGGUUUCAAGGUCGUGCCAGCUACGCUCUGACCAAAGAAGAGAAGGUCAUCUUUUUUGAAUGCCUGAGCAGUAUGAAGGUCCCGUCUGGAUUCUCGUCCAAUAUAAAGGGAAUAAUAAACAUGGCGGAGAAAAAGUUCCAAAACCUGAAGUCUCACGACUGCCACGUGAUUAUGACGCAAUUGCUUCCGAUUGCUUUGAGGGGGCUCCUGCCGGAAAAUGUUCGAGUAGCCAUUGUGAAGCUAUGUGCAUUCCUUAAUGCAAUCUCUCAGAAGGUAAUCAAUCCAGAAGAUCUACCACGGUUACAGAACGAUGUGAUCCAAUGUCUUGUCAGUUUCGAGUUGGUGUUCCCGCCAUCCUUCUUCAAUAUUAUGACGCACCUCUUGGUUCACCUAGUCGAAGAGAUUUUCAUUCUCGGUCCUGUAUUUCUACACAAUAUGUUCCCCUUCGAGAGGUUCAUGGGAGUAUUAAAGAAAUAUGUUCGUAACCGUGCUAGGCCAGAAGGAAGCAUCGCCAAGGGCUAUGGAAAUGAGGAGGUAAUUGAGUUUUGUGUUGACUUUGUUCCUGACCUUAAGCCGAUUGGUCUUCCUCGAUCGCGGCACGAGGGGAGACUAAGUGGAAAAGGCACGAUCGGAAGGAAAUCAACGACAUGUAUGGACGGCCAUUCUCUGACUGAAGCACACCACACUGUACUGACCAAUUCCACCUUGGUGGCUCCGUACUUUGAGAAACACAAGAAUAUUUUACGCUCGGACAACCCGGGGAAGCCUGAAUCCUGGAUUAGGAAGGCCCGCAUGGAGACUUUCGGCAGUUGGUUGAGAAAACAUUUAAUGAAUGACAAUGAUGUUGUAGAUCAGCUGUACAUGUUGGCCAAGACACCAUCUUCGACUAUAACGACUUUCCAAGGGUACGAGAUAAAUGGGAAUACAUUUUACACGAUCGCCCAAGAUAAAAAGAGCACCAACCAAAACAGUGGUGUCCGCUUUGAUGCAGCAACCGAGAAUGGGCAAAAGGUCACAUAUUAUGGUUACAUAGAGGAGAUAUGGGAACUUGACUAUGGACCCUCCUUUAAGAUAUGGGAACUUGACUAUGGUUACAACGUCUCGAUCACCGUCCAGGAGUGGAAUAAGCCAAAGAAGGCACGAAUUGCUGGUUUCACUUUUGUCGAUAAGAGAACAAAAAAAGAUUGCUUCAAGAAGCUUAUGGAACAUUUCGUUCUACCUCCGGAAUACAACAAAUUCGAUGAGGAGGGUAACAAGAUUGAGGAAAACAAGGAGAGGAGGAGGCUAGUCAAACAGUUCGCUCUUCAUAAGAUGGCCGACGCAUUCCGGAAAUUCAAGCAAAAUCUAGCCCAUGACUUUGUCAAGCAGAACAAGACUCCGGAUUUCAAAGGACAAUAUGAGAAACUGAAACAUGAUUGGCCAGAAUUUGUGAAGCAAAAGAAAUCGGAGCAGUUCAUUCAAAUAUCGAAAAAAAUAAGGAAAAUGCGGCUAAGAAGGAGUACAAUCAUAUUAUGGGGUCAGGAGGGUAUCGCCUUUGGGAGCCUAGGUGGGAGAAGAUGGAGAACGAGCUGAGGGCGCGAGGAAUCCGUCCAGGUACGGAGGGAUGGGACCCAAGGGCCAAAAGCUGGUGGUACGGGCAUGGGGGAACGCUGAACCCGGAGACAGGGGAGUGUGUUUACCGGGGCAAAAUAAUUAAACCCACCCAAGCCCUUAUUGACGCAAUGAGGGAUGCUCAAGAGGGGAAGAUCAAGUUCAACAGAGAGAACGACGCGCUGACAAAAGCCCUCGGGAAUCCUGAACACGGAGGACGUGUACGAGGCAUGGGGCACAUUCCGUGGAAAAUAGGGUUCCCCCAGAACGAUGACCCGUACGGUUACAGAAGCCGGAAGAUAAAGAUGGAUCGGGAAGCAGAUGUUGUGGCACGGUUGGCAUCGGAAAUGGAUGUGAUGAAGAAAACCGUGAGUGUACUAGUAUCCGAACGAGAUGCAGCUCGGGCGCAGCAUGAAGAUCAUCUAGCGGAUCUCAGAAGCCAGCAGCGGAGAAGCAGUGUGGCUUCCACGGAGGCCCCACCGGCUGGUGCAGAUGCACCGACGAUCGAAAUUACUGCACCGGAGCCUCUGGUGGUCGAAAUUACUGCACCGGAGCCUCUGGUGGUCGAAAUUACUGCACCGGAGCCUCCUCGCUACCCUGUGGACGAUAUAAAGGAGAUGAAAGAAUGUCAUUUGUAUUAUCCUAUCGGGAACAUGUCCAUGAAGGUAGCCAUCGGCAGUGCUUUACCAUGUUUACCUGGAGCACUCCACCACAACAACCCCAUUCAAGAUGGCUAUGCUCGUGUCACGGUGGAGGACAUAGUCCAAGGGUUUGAGGACCUGGAGAUUGACAUUGCUACACCUGAAGGGGAGAAAAGACUUGGAGAUGUCAAGCGCCAUUUCAUUCUAUGGCAAAAGAAGUUUAUCAAGUUUCCAGGCGAGGCGCCAAGGACAACAAGUCCACCCCCCUACGGUGGUGGCGGUUCACCUACACCUCCGUCACGUCAGCCGACGCCCCCCAGUCCACAACGUCCGGCGGGUGAUCAGACGCCGCCCCCCAGUCCUCGUCCGGCGGGUGAUCAGACGCCGCCCCCCAAUCCACCUCCGGCAAAGAAGCAGAAGCAGUCCUGGAUUAUUAACCCGGACCCUUAUGUACCUAAGACCACAAAGGUACUGGAGCCAUCAUUGAAGCCUCUCCCCACAAGGCCUUGGGAACGUAGUGCCGAGGAAACUGCCGCGGCCGCGGCUGCUAAUCAUGAGAAAUGGAAGGCGGACUGCAAGAAGAAAAGAGAGCCCGAGCCCAAGCCAGUAUUUUCUGAUGAGCAAAAGAAGUGGGCUAAGUCAUUUUUGAGCACACCGUCCCAAGCCGCGAAGAAUCUGCCUGACGACUAUGCACGUGAACUUCGUAGGCAGGCACUCAUGUUGAAGGAGAAGAAAGAGUGGGCGGAGAACCAGGAGAACAAAGCCUUGGAGGAGGCCGAGAAAACGGAAUUAGAAAGUAAAAAAAGCGGGAAACGAGUUGCCCAGCUCGGGGAACAAAGUAAACAAUCGAUUGCCCCGCUUAUAGUGAAAGCCGCCGGUCCGGAUGACCCCGAUAUCAUAGCAGCUGCGGCAGCACAUGGAUUGACUGUAACGAGUGCCAGAGAACAAGCGGCCAACUUAGGUAUUACUCUUCGUGAACUGUUAGGCCUUGAUGAGGCGCCAGUGAAGGAGGUAGUAAUUACAUAUGUGAAGAAUGGGCCUCUCGUCGAGCCUACGCAGGAAGAGGAUCUACCUCCACAAAUGAAAGGUCUGCUGAAAUGGUACAAGGGUUACAUAAAAAAUAAAAACGCCAAAGAAUAUAUUUAUGCGGAAGUUAGAUAUGAGCAUCACUUCAAACAUUACUAUGUACAAAUUCAUCUGAGUGAAUUGUUCCAGCUUUUCAAUCUGCGCGAGCUCGACAAAUCUAUCAUCAGUUGCUACGUUCUGUAAGUGAUUUAUUUCUACCCCAUCUCGUUCAUAUUGCCUGCACUAUAUAUAUGUCCUAACUAUAUUGUUGUGUCCGCUAUUAUACAUGCAGAAUGAAGAUUAAGGAAUGCAGAGUAAGGAACAUCCAUGAUGUUGGGUUCAUUGACCCACACAUCGUUAAUGGAUAUGUGUUGGAGCAUCACCCCGCUGACAUGGAGGCAGACCUGUGGCAGUUUCUUACAAAGCAGGAACUCAAAAGUGAUAUUCUAUUUCCUUACCAUUUUGGGUGAGUGUUUUUGUCUUGAGCACAUUCUCUUUUGUUUACUCCAUGCAUGGUAUGUGGCCGGCUAAUCGAUGAGUUAUGCAUGACGUACUGUGCAUGUAUCGUGUCCGCAGGUUCCACUGGAUUCUGCUAGUAAUUAAAGUUGACACCUCAGAAUGUCUCGUCCACGACUCUCUGAAUAAGGAUCCAAAGCUUUGGGUCGACAUGAGAAGAAUGAUGCAGAAGUAAUUAUUUUCAUUCAUUUGCGCUCUAUAUCGAUUGGCCUAUUUUGUUCAUUUCCUAAUAUCAAGUAACUAAUAACUCUCUUGUUCAUUUAAUUUUCUUUGCCUCGUAGGGUUUGGAGACGGUUCGUAGAUACAAAGGUCGGUGAAUUCAAAAAAGAGCUAGAAUUCAAAAGGGCAAAGGCUAAGAAUGGUGAGGAUAUUCAGCCAGCGGGGACCAAUCUAUGUGCAUACUAUGUCUGUGAGAUGAUCCGGAGAUACACCUCUGAGCGGGUUCCGAGUGAUACCAAUGCUUAGAGGAAUAACCUCCGGAUGAUGCUUAGUCCAGAAGCUCGCUUCCGACCACUUCAAGAGGAACUAGCUGGAUGGUUCAGGAGGGAAGUCCUCCAUCCUAAAGGAGAACACCAUUACGAGGACGUAGAACUUUAUAUGCAUUAAAUUAUGUAUGGAAACUUGUUCAAAAUUGUAUAUGGUCAUCCGAUGAUAUUGAAUAUAUAUUGUAUAUUCCUCUUGAAUUCUUUUUGGUUCUAAUUUCAAAUUUGUUUGAAAUUGUACAUUCAUAUGCAUGUAUGUAGUACCGUAGAAUAUGUGAAACUCCUUCAAAAUUAAAAUAAAGCACAAAAGAAAUAAAACAAUACAAAUUAAACAGAAAACAGGUUUAGGGGGGGGGGCUAAAACCCUAAACCUGCGGCGGCCUUUAGUCGCGGUUGGCCAGAAGAACCGCGACUAAAGGUCCUCCGCCCCGACGGCCGCCUGGCGCCCACGUGGACGGGCCUUUAGUCGCGGUUCUUAAGCAACCGCGACUAAAGGAUGGGGCAUUUAGUCGCGCCCGUUCGGUCGCGGUUGCGCAACCGCGACUAAUGGCAGUUGCGAACCGCGACCAAAGGCCCUUUUUCCACCAGUGCAUAUGCAAACGAGCAAGCUUGAAGCUAUAGCGUACUUACUCUGAUAGGUUGUUAAUCAACAUAUGCAGACGAGCAAGAUUGAGAGUUUGAAAUAUUUCAAUGUAUAUCCCGGUGGUUGAACAUCACGGUAGAUCCGAGUUAAAGUUCUUGUACCUAUUACUUUUAAGAAAUGGAUAGGUGUUGGCUUGAGUGUCGAGGAGUAAUUGUCUUCCCAAGCUAAAUCUUUAGUAACCAAGAGUAAUAUGGUUCGGGAAGAAGUGUGUCGAAGGUUUGGAAAUUGCCGAUAAGAAUCUAUCACGGGUGAAUUUAACCAAAGUCUGGUCAACUUUGGGUCGAAAAAAAAUAAAACGGAGAGAGAUUUGCUUCUGUGUUAAAUCACAAGUCCCUCCAAUCAGACGUAGCUUCUUGCAGAAGAGUGAACUGGUCUAUCAAAUUAUUUGUCGCUAUCCAGCAUUACUGGUUCAUUCUACUCUACUCAUAUUUUCCAGCAGUUUAAUUUCGGUGCUCUGUGCCUCGAUAGAUAUCUCUGAUCAUUUUCUUUCCCUUUCGCAACGUAUAUCCCAGCUGGCUAGCUCAUCAAUUGACUGUGUAUGUAUGACGAAAACAUAUCGACGGCUGAAACAUGCUACUUCCGGUCCCGAUGGAUAUAUAUGCGGUCAAUCCGAUAUGGUCGCAUGCGAGAUGACGGCUAAACCAAGUGCAUAUUCACUCCGAACGAGGAUAUUCGUGGUUGACACCUGUUUUUAGCUAGGUCAACUCGCCAAUCGAUCAACAGCCGACUGCAUGUUAUAUAGUAGUACCAGCCAAUGUUUUCGUGAUGUGUGUACGCCAUGCAUAUUUUACGAAAAAGGUUCCCCGCUUUAUAUUAUAAUAAAACAAUCACCACUACUACCUCCAUCCGGGUUUAUUGGUUUCCAUUGUAUUUCGUGCCAAAUUUUGACCAUAGAUUAAACUAACAAAAUAUUCACACAUGUCAUCAAAUAUUAUAUUUUUAAAAACUAUGUUUCAAUAUGAAUCCACUGAGAUAAUUUUUCUUGACAUGCAUUCACAUCUUGUUAGUUAAAUCUUUAGUCAAAAUUUGACACAAACUACAACGGAGACCUACAAACCAGGACAGAGGUAGUACAUCCAAAGCAUCGAUACAAACUCACACCAUACACACCCAAGGCGAGAUACAAGUAAGUCGGGCAAUGAAGCACACCCUCAACGACAAUCAAGCACCUACAAGAUGUGCAAAAGGAACCACUUAGCGCCGACGGAGACUUCCAAGAGCAAUCGUUCGGGAGGGGUGUGUGACGAACCAUGCCAGACCAAGGGCUCCAAGACGAUGCCUCCAAGAAGGGUACGACUACAGAAUGUCGCCACCGUCCGAUCCGAAGAUCAAGUUUUCACUCGGAGCGAGACAGAGGAGAGGGAGCACCACGACGGAGCCUACAGGGAGGAACACGACGUCCACGGACGCCGCCACCAUCGGCCAGUGCACGAACUGGACAGGUGGUGUACCCCCGGUGCUUCAACCCCUCCGUCGCAUCCCCGACCCGCCAACCACUCGCAGCCAUGCCGCCCAAGUGGCCAUGGUUGUGCGCCCGCAAUCGAGAAGCGUCGUCCGCCCACGACAGACGCACCUCUCACCCCUAGGACCACCGCCCUGCCACCAUACCACCGCAAAAGCCACCAAAGAACACAACUUUGACCAGAUCUACACCCCCAACCGACUCCGAAGCUGCCGGCAGACACCUUGCCACGAGAAGGACUACGACCAAACGCCGGCCGGGGGAAGGGGGAGGUGACGAAGCAGCCCAAGGCCAAGAUCGGCGAUGGGGCACACGACAGUGCCCCCAUCCACCAGCCAGCCUCCCCCCCCCGGAAACCAAUUUCGCCCCCAAAGCCACAGAUCCGGACCAGCCAGAGUGCACCGGCCGCUGUUGGAUGACAAAGAGGGGAAGGGGAACCAGAUUGUCCGUCGUCUGGCCCAAGGUAAGCCAGCAGGGGGGGUCUUCCCGUGUCGAGUGUCGCCGUCCCGCCGCAAAGGGCCCUACUGGACGGGGAUGCCCACCUCCACCGUUGUCGUGCCGCCCCCUCCCCCACCAGGGAAGCCACAGAGAGAGGGGCCGCCCGCGACCCGGUCAACCUCGACCCGCAGCGCUGCCGGGAAGCAACUGUCGUCGACACCACCAACCGGCCUGCACCACCGCCUUGCCGCCUGUCACAUCACCACCACGCCACCAUCGUUGGCCCACGCCGGAGCGUCGCCGCGCCCGGCAACGAGCACUGCGUCCCCGCCCGCGUCAAGCCCCCCGCGCGAGGAGACUAGAGGGCCUCGCCGCCGCCAGCGACGACCGGGCUUCGCCCGCUCGCGCCCCCUGGCGGCGGCGGGGGAGGAGGAGAGGAGGAGGGGAGGGUGGGCGGCGGUGCUAGGGUUCGCAUCCCGGACACUCACGAGAGCGUCGCGGGAGGGGGAAGGGGGAUUCAUGCCAUGCACAUACCGUUAAGGAGACAAAAAUCUAAGAAAACGGACAGGUCCCACUCCUCUUGUUGCCGACGAGGCUUCAACAUGAGGGAGAGGAGGUGGACCGAUGCGGUGGCGGCGAUUUUGAAUAGGGGUGUCCAUACCUCAUCUACUGUUUGUGGUUCUUUCAUGUUAAUCAUGCGUUGUUGGACUUGUAGACAAGCUUAGGGUGCAAAACUAAAAAUGUUACACGUGGGUUGUUGGAUCUUUGAUAGAUGGUUUAGAUUGGUCAUGUGGGAGGGGGGAGGGGUUGUGGAAUGUACAUAGCCCCCGCACCAACUUAAACGUGAUCAAUCUAGGCCAUCCAUAAAAAAUUCAAUGGCGCACAUACAUUUUUUUGCACCUUAAGAGUUGAUUGAAUUCUAGUCGUCUCCACAAGUUUGUAAGGUUUACGAUGAUGCUGCAUGAGUAAAUUUGUGGCAUCGACCAUCCAAUCAAAAGCAUGUCAAAAUGCCAGACAUGUGUCACCGUUCGUUGGAAGGUGGUGAUAAAAACACAGAACCGGAAAAUGCUGAAGUUCCCUGUUUGUUGAGGCUAUGUUAAGGAAAUUUCAUUUGUAUGAUUUGUGUUUUGUUUAUUUAGCAUUCUUUUAGUAACCUAACCAAAUUAGCAAAAAGAGUUUGCUUGUCAAAACCGAUAUAUAAAUCCAAUUCAUCCUUAAGAUGGUCGUAUUGAUUGAUCGCCUACUAUAGAUGGUUGAACUAUCGUCGAAGAAAGAUUCAUGAUUGAAAACCAAUACUAUCAUUUCGCAUUUAAAAAAAAAGGCAAUACCAUAUUAAACCAAUUGAUCGACAUAGAUGAACUGACAGAAUUAACAAAGAGACAUUGACGGCUACAUCCGUAUCUAAAAUUAAUUUGUUGAUGUGGUUGCCGAAGAGAGUCGGUAGUUAAGACCGGUAAAUAAAGUCAAUGUGACCGAUCACCUGCUGGAUAGGUUUUCACUUGCAUAACAACGAACAAUCUAGCGCGCGGCGGUAAAGACAUCUAUACUUCUAGAUAGAGGCAGUUUUUCUUCAGAAAUGUUCUUUGGUGGGUUAGAGAAAACGGAUGCGAUCCGAGGCCUCGAUCGACAGCAGGAGCAUGCCCACCGUACGAGAUAGGUGGACGGUGCCCAUCCACCUGUCCUCGUGAGUGAGACGUGUCUCAGAAAAGGAACAUAGUGAUGAUCGCCAGCACAGCCCAUCUUAAGACGUCAUCAGGGCUAGCAUGGAACAGCAACUGCCUCAUUUAGGCCCGUCCGCAUCGAUGCAGUUGCAACCAAUUUGUGCGGUACAUCAUCAAGGCAGGUGCGUGCGUGCACGAUCAUCUGAGAGGCGCGUACACCAGGAGAUGCAUGCAUCCAAGAAAGACCGCAUGGCUGCGAUGCGACAUUGCGAGCACAGCAGGAGAGACGGCGAUCGGCUCAGUCGGCGUGGUAGAGACGAAAAACGCCACUGACUAGUCUAGUCCUUGAGACGCGCGCAAACGUGCUGGCACAAAUCAUCAUGUUUGGACGGACCCUACGUAAGCAAAUGUGACCGAACAUGUGUUCAAUCUGUUAGAUCGAUCGUCCUCCAUCAUAUCCAUAUAGCGCACGUAGCACGAUCGAUCGAGCUCAUGCCUCCUGUUUCUAUGUGAAACGGAGCCGGAGAGGUUGCUUCCCUGUUCAUUCAUCCAAAAAAAAGCUCAUGCCUCGUGCAGUGCACGAAGGUAUGCAAAGGGCCUCUGAGCGUGAGAAGGUGAGGCGACGCGCGACGCCGAGGCAAAGACGGCGUGCCGGCCCAUCGCCGUGGCAGGGGUCGGUGGUUCAGAUGGCAGGGGCGACGGCAAUGGCGACUGCGGCUAGAGGGAGAAGAGGAUUGCGGUCCGUCAAAUAUAGAUCGGACGAUGGAGAACAAAGUGACCAACGAAAAAAAAAUGACUCGUCAGAUUAUUAUUUUUUUGACUAAAAAUCGACCCAUCAGAUGCUUCUCCUGCGCAUGGACGCAACGACCCAAUGCUAACGGAAACCAACAUCCUACCUUUUUUUUAGGUGUAGCAACAUCCUACCUACGUGCGGGAUAGUAAACGUGCACCCCGUCACGGUAGACCGGCCCAUUUACACGUUUUGUGUUUUCUUUGCAAAAUAUAACUCUAUAGACUAACAACGACAAAGUACUAAAAAAGACUAAAACGACAAAAAGAGAUAAACAGUUUUGAAAAAUACAAAAUACAGAAAAUUAAAAAAUACGAAACAUGUUGACCCUGUAUUUUUUUAAAUCGUCAAAGGUUUGAAAAAUAUUCACCACGUGAUUGAAAAUAUUAAUCAUAUAUUUUAAAGUAUUUUUGGCAUGUGUUGAAAAAUGGUCAUCACAUAUUAAAAAAAGAUCUGUUACGUAUUAAAAAAUCUCAUGUAUUUUUUAACUUUCAUGAAGUAUUCUAAAAAAAUUAAACAUAUACUAGAAAAAUGUUCAUUGCAUGUUAAAAAGUUGUCUCAUGUUUUGAAAUAUUAUUGCUAUUUAAAAUGUUUACUGUGCAUGUAAUAAUGCUCAUCGUGAAUUACUAGAAAGUCCAUCUUUAUCUUUUUUUUUGCGAUGGAUAAAGUCCAUGUUUAUAAAGUUGCAUAUAGAAUAGAAAAAAAACUUGAAGAACAAAAUUAUAGAAAAUGGGAAGAAAAGAAAACCAACAUCGGCAUCCAAUGCCGUCCACACCCUUCUGGCAACCGGAUCCACGGAAGGACAAAUGCCAUCAGUGCAUAGAAUUUUGCAAGCUCUAAUUUGUUUCAGCCAUAAAUCAAUAAUCGAAUCGAUGGACGACACUUUUUGGAUGCGAGCCGUGCUCAGAUGCUACCAUGCUCCCACUGUGAUAUUGAAGAGCUGAGAUGCGAGACGGGGCUUGUUUAGUUUGCUUAUGGGUAGUGCUACCUAGCACAUGCAACGAUCUAAAGCAUCCGAUUUCAGACGCCUGUGACUCGACAUGAACCAAACACGCCCGAGACGAAUCACCGUCAAGAUCAUGGUCAACCAAUCACUAAUUUCGGAUAAUUUCACUAGUUAGCCCCGAAUUCGGAGAGGAUUCUAGCUAGGGUUUAUAUUAGCAAAGGGAAAAGUAGAGGACAACCACUCCAGUGGCGGCUAGGGUUUACAUCCUGAUUACAACUCGAUGCACUAUCCUAGGUUUAAAAAGGAGCCAUUACACUGAAGAAGUAAAAGGCGAAAAGAGAAAGCCAAGUGCGACAUGAUCAGAAACAAAAAAAAAGGCGCCAGUUAGGUAAUUAAAUGUAGGCCGUUGGAUGGCGAUCAGAGAUCACUCACGUCAUCUCUUUAGUGGCCCGCGACUGGUUCGCCGGCUACAUCCAGGCCGUCUGAUCUUGAUCGGAGGGUCUUUAGAGCGUGCUGGAACUGAUGGUACAGCUAACUGAAGAUAAUAGUCAGUGUAGAUUCAGUAAUGAGCCUGACACUCGCGCACCCAACAAGUUCUCCGCCCCCACGAUAAGCCCGAGUUAACUAUCCAACGAAGCCUAGAACGAUGUAGUACACGAUCAACACGGGCAACGACGCCAGCGUCCCGAAUAUAACCCUGCAAGAUUCAGCACAGUUUCAGACAAAACGUACUACGCGUUCAGAAACGAAGCCUAAUUAAGCAAGCAGACGCAGGUAUAAUACCACUCCAUUACUUACGCGGUGCUCAGCACAUCGGCGUGCAGGCCGUACUCCUUGGCGAACACGAACGUGGUGAUGGACUGGGGGAGCGCAGCCUGCCGGUACAUCGAUCGCCAGGUGAAGCAAGAGCGUUAACACGGCGAAAAACAUGCGUGUCAGUCGAUGUAGCGGACAUCAUUCAGAAAAAAAACUUUUGAAGUAGAUUGUGCUGUGACCUGUAUGAUGGCGAGGCGCAGGACGUCGCCGCGGAGCCCCAGGGCGACGGCUCCGGCCGCGGUGGCCGCCGGGCCGGCGACGAACCGCAGCGCCAUGCCCAGCGCGGUCAGGCCGGCCCCGCAGACGAUGAUCUUCUCCUGCAGCGCCAUGAACAGGCCUGCAUGCCACCAACCAAUCCAUCGAUAAACAGAUAGAUACGGUAGUGCCUCUCGUUAAUUUCUUGACAGUUGCUCCGACGAUUUGCUAGCUUACCCAUGCUGAACAUGGCGAGCCCGACCCCGGUCCUGGACAUGAUCAGCACCGAGCCCUCGAUGAUGCUCGGCGUCACGAUGUGCCACCUGCAUAUGCGCAGAAUAAAUUAAGCAACGGCUGAUAAAAAAUACGUUCAGAAGGAUGCCAAGUGCCACUGUGUCAGUGUGCCAGUGUCAUUCAUCUCAAAGAAACAGAAAUAAAGCUGAACUCUAUGCCAAAUUGUUUCCCGACGGGGCCAUGUGCUACUUUUUCUGCAGCAGUAGUUCGAUUGCAAAGUGCACCGGAUGCCUGAAAUUGAUUUAGUUAUAGAUUGUUGAGCAUAGUUGUUUAUUCGUCUGUUCCACUAACAAGCGGUAUUUGUUCUGCCUCAAUUAUUUCUUAGUGUGAACCACCUAAGCUUGCUUAACACUUUAGGAGGGACAAAGAGUACAGGUUCCGUUAACUACUUGAUGCAACUCUGCGUGAUUAUCAUAUGUUGGGAUUAUAUUGUUGUGCUGUGAAUCGACCAUUCACAGUUUAAUGGUAGGCCUACAACUUUUCAGUUUGCACCUCUUGCUACAACACCUACCGGUCUCUUCAUAGGAAAAAAUAUCACAUUCGCCAGUGUUAGAACAUAUUGUUUUUUAAGUGAUGCAUUUGUGAUUUCAUGUGUGUUAAAUUAUUUGAGAUAUUUCUUGAAUUAAUUGAUUUCCAACAUAAAUUUGUGAACCUUUUGGUUUUUAACAUUAACAAUUCCCAAAUUGUAAGUAAAUACUUAUAAAAUUUUACAUAUUUUGUUUUCUAUUUUUUUUACCUUUCUACCUUUAAUUCGAUAUUGUCAUCUGUUUUUUUUCAUUUUUUCCCUUCAAAUCCUCCUGAAAAUUUCUCACCAUUUUAUAACUUGUUUUAUUUUGUGUCUUGACGGGGCUACAAUGUGUAUGAUUGCCUCAUAUGACUUUGAUGGUCACAAAACCAAAUACGGCCAGCAUUGAAAGUAAAGGGUGAAAACUAUAUUGCAUUGGAUUCGGGACAAAAACUAACAUUGGAUCGAUUUUGUAAUAAAUGAGGUUUGGAUUCAUGUUUGAUUUUCCAUGGAACUGAUGUCAAACAGAUGCACUCCUUGGGAAGUUCUACUGUCAUCCUAGCUAUGAUUUAAAGUCCUUUAUUCACAAGAAUUUUUGGCAAGUUUCUAAUUUUUUUUAUCAUUCCUUCUUGACUUUCUUGCGUGUUAUGUUUUCCCUCCCCUUCUUCGGCGGCACGUUGAUGCCAAACGGGCGUAUAAGGUUCCCCCGAGUCUCCCCAUCACAACGGUGUCGUCUACGACUGUGCCGAUGACUCGAUGGCGUAUUUUCAGGUCGACCAUUCUGGUCGAUGAGAUUAUAGUUUGAAAGGCUUGUUGGCGCGGCGACAAAUGACUUCCCUUUAUCGUUUCAGAACCGGCUUCCUCCUGUGCUUGUGAGGCUUGUGAGAAAUAAUGGAGGUUUGACUCUUGUAUCUGUGGCUCUUUCAGCGGUAACGGUUUCUUCUCCGCGAUGUUGGUUCGGCAAGAUGUGACCUUGAUGACUUCCCGUCCGUGAUCGAAAACAACAAGCUGGCUCCGAUGAUGGAGCGGCAUGAGGCAGGCGCCGUCUGCCUGUUCGGGUGAUAAAGGCAGUCAACCCUCAUGGACUUUGAUGUGCAAGUAUUCAGUGGUAUUUGUAGUGGUUUAUUUGACCCAUAUAUCUUUUUUCAAAAAAAAUGAAAUAACAAAAGAAAUCUAUCAAAAUUCUAUACUGCAAGAGUGGUUUGCUAUCCUUAACCCAACCAAUAAGUUUUAUUUUCGAUGACACAUCCCAAUCACAUUUUCCCAUUAUGUCAUACCAGUCUGUGCAUAUAUGCCAGCACCAAAACGAGGAUACAGACCUAUAUGUGGUUGGAUGGUUAGGUGAACCGUGGACAGCGGUAUCCCCAGCACAUCAGAGUUCAAGUCAUGGUGCUCGCAUUAUCUUGGAUUCAUUUCAGGAUUUCCGGCGAUAAGUGUUCAGUGGGAGGAGACGUUCCCCUUGACUACGAGGUGUCUAUGGUGAGACUUCAUCAAUCUCAAGAUGAUAUGACAGUUCAGUCUUUCGGAGGUGCUCAUAGAAAUAGCAUGUGUGUGUGUGUCUUCACAGGGAUGAGGGUACACACAUGAUCGCCUGUGUCUCUUUGUUCUCAAAAGCAAAAGGCACCAAAACGAGGAUGUGAUCCUGCCACACUAUCGAGACCGUCUUGACGUCCGACUCGUGCGUAACAACAUCACAUCCUCCCGGAGAAAAAGUUGCACGUAGCUAAGAGUGGUGCGUGCAUGCAGAGAAAUACGGAUCGUACCUGUUUGUGACGCAAGACCAGGCGACCCCGAGGACGCCCGCGUAAACGUUGGGAUUCCGUGCCACCUUGAGCCAGACCGCUCUGACCAACGGCCAUACCGGCUCGCGCCGCCGCCUCCCCUCCGCGCCGCCGUCCUCCACGUCGUCCUCGCUCGCUGAAACCGCUGCCGCCGCGUCAGGCUUCCCUGCGCCACCACCGCACGCACGCCUGACCUCGAACGCCAGCAGCAGCAGCGGGAAGUAGACGAUGAUCUGCACCACCGAGAUCUGCACGACGAGGUCGCGCGCCCACCCGCCGUACAUGGCGUCCAGCAGCGGCACGCCCACCACGAGCGUGUUGUUCAGCGUCGCCAGCGAGAAGCCGGUGAUGCACCACGAGGAGGCUAGCUCCCCGCCGCCCCCGCCGCGCUUGGCGCCACCGCGGCAGCAGCGCGUGGACGCGGCGGCCCAGGCGGCGAGGGCCAGCGCGACGGCGAGCUUGGAGAGCGCGUCGGCGGCGAGGACGCGGUAGUUGAGCGCGUAGGGGUCCAUGCGCGCGGCGAAGUCGAAGGCGAAGAAGGGCACCGCGAAGUAGGCCACGAGGCGGUUCACGGCGUCGCACUGGUCCGGCGUGAAGAGCUUCCACCACCGCACCGAGCCGUAGCCGAGGCCCAGGGCGAAGUAGAGCGGCGCCAUGGCGGCCACCACCUUGUACACGUCGCCCCAUCCGAUCAUCUCCUCCGCCACGCUCUGUUCGUGUGUCACAACUCACAACUCACAAGCGCGCGAUGUGUUUCGGUGCCGUUUCUGGGUGCCUAUAUGUGGGCUCGAGGAUGCAGUUGCAUGCAUGUAUACGGAACAUAUUCUGAUUUCCAGAACUUUGGCAUCGAACAGAAAGUAAGAAAGGGAUUCACAGUCAGCAUCAGCAUCAUUUCACCAGGGAUAGCCGUAGUGCGCAGCGCAACCUCCGCACUCUUCCGCUAUCGCUCAUUCUUCUCCCUCCCCUUGUUUUUUCUUCCUCGCCGCCCACUGCCCCCUCCACUCCCCGGGAUCAGGGCAUUCUCUCCUUACUUUUCCAUUCACGUCGAUAUGGAAACAAUGAUUAUGUCUCAAGCAUGGAAAGUCUUUGUAGAAAUAUUACUAUGAACUACAUACGAACGUAUAUAGAUGCAUUUUAAGUGUAGAUUCACUUAUUUUGUUUCGUAUGUAGUCUAUAGUGUAUUUUUAAAAAAACUUAUAUUUAGGAACAGAGGAGUAUUAAGGCUUCUUUGGGAAGGCCACAAUGAUUCAUGCAUGGCUAGGUUUAUAAAAUUAAUCUAUUGCAAGAAUUUUUAGGUCUAUUUGAUUCAAAGGAUUUUGAAAGGAAUCUUAAAGGUCCUAAGGACCUUUUUCCUACAUGGGUUGUUUGUUUCGCAGGAUUAUAGUUCAUAGGAAUCUUUCCUUGGGAUUGCUUUAUAAUAGAUUUCAUAGAAAAGUUUCCAUCCACCUCGACCUUGUAUGAAGAUUACUACGUUUAUACUGAGCAUAAUCAAAUGUCUAUACUAUCUCAUACUCCCUCCGUUCGGAAUUAUUCGUCUAAGAAAUGAAUGUAUCUAGAUGUAUUUUAGUUGUAGAUACAUUCAUUUUUAUUCAUUUUUUGUGACAAGUAAUUCCGAACGGAGGGAGUAGUAUUUUUUAGACACAUUACAAAUGCAGACGCUCAUACACUUAUCCCUAUGAACACACAAACAUACACUACCCAUAUGAUCACCUCUAGCACAAUAUUUUGAGAUUGAUGAAGUCGCCACAGACAGCUUAGUAGGAACGUCUUGAACUCCGAUGUGCUGGGAUACCACUAUCCGCCUAACCAUCCAACCACAGAUUGGUUCGCUACAAUCUCAGAGUAUUGAGGAUGACAUGUUACUCUAUCUAUGUGUUUUUCCUAUUCACACGUUUGAGAAAUCCUGUAAAUCAACAAAGAGACAUAACUUAGAAACAAGACUUAGCUAGGUAGCUGUCUCAUGAGCCGCUCUCUUUAUUUCUCUUGGAGAAUGCUUAAAUCGGCAAAGCCAAAUAUGCACUGCCGCCGCACUACGCCUUGGGUUGGACAUAUUUGUACAUGUAUAUGUUAAGAUAAUCUUCUAUCGGCCCCAUCUCUAGUUUUUUUGUAUAGAUAAGGCUGAAGACUGCCCUUGUACCCAUAUAUACGUGCACCGUGCACCCGAUCAAUACAUCAAGAGCUGCAUUGCCUUCAACAUGGUAUCAGUUUUCCUUCCGAUUCAACCCUAGCUUCCGCUCCUAGCCGCCGCCGCCGCAGCUUCUCGCUGCCGCCGCCGCCGCCAUCCACUUGUGCCGCCGCUGCACCCUCACCCCGCCGCCACGCGCGCCUCCCCACCCCAAUCCCCCUCUCCCUCUCCCCGAGCCGCCUCCCUCCCGAUCGCCAUCUCCACCAGCCGCGCCGCCAUCCCUCCCCUCGGUCGCCGCCGCACCCAUGGCCUCCCCCCACUCCGCCGCCUCCCUCCCCUCCAACUCCUUCGAGGGUCCGGCCCCUCCUCCGGUGGAGGUCGUCCGCGAUCUGGACAUCUUUGCCCGCGUGCCCAUCGUUGUCGACUACGCCACCUCCACCUAUUACACCUGGAAAACCUACUUCUCCCUCGUCUUCCGUGAGUACCACCUCAUCGAUCACGUCGAUGGCUCUGUCGACUCCGGUCUCAUGUACGCGGACGACAACUGGCUGAGCAUCGACGCCACCAUCACUCGCUGGCUGUACCAAAUCAUCUCCAAGGACAUCUUCCACACCAUCGUCUGCGACACUGACGACGCGCAGAUGGUGUGGGCGAAGCUUAACGGGCUCUUCCUCGACAACACCCUCUAGCGUCGCGUAUUUCUUCAGCAGCAAUUUUUUGGCUGCCAUCAGCUUGACUCGUCCAUUGACGAUUAUUGCAUGCGCCUUAAGAAACUCGCUGACGAACUCCGCAACCUCGGGGAGCGGCCUGAACGAGGAGUUCGGCAACACGGCCUCCAACCUCACGUUCCUCCCGGACCCGACCUUUCCUCGGGUCGUGGCUUAUCUUCGGUUGGAGGAGAGGAGGAUGAAGAUGGUGAAGUCCCGGGCCACGCACACGGCUCUCGCGGCGGGCACCUCCCGCACCACUCCUCCCACAGCGCCGUAGCCGCCGCGGCCUCUGCCGCCGCCGCCGGCGUCGUAUUUCCAGGCGCCACCGACGCCCGUCUACCAGCCGCCAUCCCCUUGCCCCCGAUCACCGCGGCGGGGGGCGCCGCGGCAAGAAGCAGUAGCAGUAGCACGGGAGCCGCAACAACAGCAACUGCCCCCGGCCCCCUGGGCCGCCGCGACCAACCCUUGGACGGGGCUGGUCCAUGCGUACACGAUGCCCGUGCCGCGGGCCCCCGUCCCGGCUGGGAUCCUCGGCCCCGCCCCGGUGCGCAUCAGGCGCUCCUCGCCGCCCCGGGCGGCUACCCCGUCGCGCCCCCUCUGUACGCCGCGCUGGGUGGCUACCCCGCGGCCAUGACUGGCUAUGCCGUCCCGGGUGGCUACCCCGCUGCCCCUCCGGCCGCGGCCACCGCACUCCCACCGGCCCCUUGGGACCCGACCUCCUCGCGGUGCUCCACUCCGCCCCUACACCCAACACGUACACUGGAGGCGGCGACUGGUAUAUGGAUUCUGGGGCUACCACCCACAUGCCUUCCAACCCCGGUAACCUCAACUCCGUAUUUUCAGUUUCUACCGCAUGUCGUAUUACUGUUGGGGACAAGUCUUCCCUUCCCAUUACUCAUGUCGGUCAUGGUUCCUUUCCGUCUAACUCUACGCCUAUUCACAUGUCCAAUGUCUUAGUUUCACCUGAGUUAGUCACUAAUCUUGUUUCCGUUUGUUCUCUUACACGUGAAAAAUCCUAUAACUGUUGAAUUUGACGAAGUGGGUUUUUCUGUCAAGGAUGCCCGUACUCGAAUGGUGCUCCACCGAUGUGACAGCCCGGAUGGCCUCUACCCGGUGAACUCCACUGCCACUUCGACAUCCUCUCCGGUCACUCUCUCCGCCACGGUGGACCUUUGGCAUGCUCGGCCGGGACAUCCAAACCCGGCCACCCUUCGUCAUAUUCUUAGGACUUUUUCAUUCACAUGUAAUAAAACCGAUGAUCAUACUUGUCAUGCUUGUCGUCUUGGCAAGCAUGUUCGUCUUCCGUUUAGCGCGUCCUCAUCGGUGGCGUCGUAUCCAUUUGAGUUGAUUCAUAGUGAUUUGUGGACAUCUCCUGUUGCCAGUAAUACGGGUUUUUUAUACUAUCUUGUCAUACUUGAUGAUUUUUUGCACUACGUGUGGACCUUCCCAUUGCGGAGAAAAUCCGAUGCACUCUCCGUUCUCACCACCUUUUACUCGUAUGUUGCCACGCAGUUUGGGCGUCCCAUUCAUGCCUUGCAGACUGACAACGGGAAGGAGUUCGACAACGUCGGGGUUCGCACCCUCCUCAUCACACACGGGACGAUUUUUCGUCUCACCUGCCCGUAUACCUCGCAACAAAAUGGUCGCGCCGAACGGAUUCUUCGCACCCUCAAAGAUUGUGUGCGCACUCUUCUUUUACAUGCCAAUGUCCCGCCCCGGUUUUGGCCGGAUGCUCUCUCCACCACCUCUCUCCUCAUCAACGUCCGUCCAACUCGUGCUCGUGGAAACUUUGCACCACAUCAUCUCCUCUUCGGUAGCCCACCUUCAUAUGAUGAUCUUCGUGUUUUUGGGUGUCUGUUAUCCUAGCGUCGCUUCCACCACUCCUCACAAACUUGCACCUCGCUCCGUGGCAUGCAUUUUUCUCGGAUACCCACCAAACACCAAAGGCUAUCGCUGCUAUGAUCCGGUUUCCCACUGAGUCUUCACUUCAUGACACGUUUACUUUGACGAGAGGUCUUUUCCUUUUCACCAGGUACCGCCGCCGGCCGACUCGCCAUCAUCACCCGCGCCUCCUGGCGCCUCUCGGGGAGGCCGCUCACUCGCGCUCGGUCCCCCUGCAGCGCGUGGGCCUCCCCUGGCUUCGGCGGCCCAGCUGCGCCUGGACCCUACUCUGGGUCCGCGGCGUCGGACCCAGACCUCUCGCCCGCCGGCUCGCAGGCCUUCUCGCCGGCGGUCACGGCGCCUCUGACUCCUGUUGAGUCUGCAGCCCGGUCAGCGAGCGCAUCCCCUACGCCUGACCCGGGCUCCUCGACAGCUUCCGCCGCCCCGGCUGCAUCCUUGCCGGCGGCCACGGCGCCCCGACUCCCGUUGAGUCCGUAGCCCGGGCAGCGAGCGCUUCUCCAGCGCCUGCCCCCGGCUCCUCGAUGGCCUCUUCGCCGGCCUCGUCGCCGGCCCCGCCGGUCGCCCCGGACACCCGCAUGGUCACCCAUGCUCGUGCCGGUAUUCACCGGCCCAGCACGCGUUAUCCUGCGGAUGAGUACCUCCUCGCUGCCUCGACGUCUGCACCGUCACCUCUCCCGUCGUCCGCUCGAGCCGCACUUCGCGAUCCGCAUUGGCUUGUAGUGAUGCAGGAGGAGUUCGAUGCGCUGGUGCGCAACCGCACUUGGCAGCUUGUCCCGCGGCCACCCCAUGCCAACGUCAUCUCUGGCAAGUGGGUAUUCCGGCAUAAGACUGAUCCUGACGGGUCUCUCGAGCACUAUAAGGCUCAGUGGGUGGUCCGCGGGUUUCGGCAACGCGCUGGAGUCGACUUCACCGACACGUUCGCCCCGGUCGUUAAACCAGGCACAAUUCGCGCGGUCCUUCAGCUCGCGGUCUCUCACGCCUGGCCGGUGCAUCAGAUGGAUGUGUCGAAUGCAUUCUUGCAUGGCCAUCUUUCGAAGCAGGUGUUCUGUCAGCAGCCAACCGGCUUCGUCGAUGCGGCUCAACUUGACCUUGUGUGCCUGCUCUCGCGCUCUUUGUACGGGUUGAAGAAGGCCCCUCGCGCCUGCUACCAGCGGAUUGCCGGCUUUUUGCAGCAGCUUGGGUUCCGGGCUACUCGCUCUGUCGCCUCGCUGUUUGUCUUCCACCAGGCUCCGGCAACCGCUUACCUACUCCUCUACGUCGACGACAUCAUCCUGACGGCUUCCUCGCCCGAGCUCCUUCGCCAGCAUACUGCUCGCCUCAGCGCUGAGUUCGCCAUUAAGGACCUCGGCCCGUUGCACUACUUCCUCGGUAUUGAGGUGGUACAACGCGCCGAUGGGUUCUUCCUUCAUCAGCAGCAGUAUGCACAGGACCUUCUUGAGUGGGCAGACAUGCUUAACUGCAAGCCUGUCCCCACGCCUAUCGACACGAAGGCCAAGGUCUGUGCACUCGACGGCUCCCCCGUGCCAGAUGCAGCGUUCUACCGCUCCAUCGUCGGCGCUCUCCAGUACUUGACACUCACUCGGCCCGACCUGCAGUACGCCGUUCAGCAGGUGUGUCUCCACAUGCACGCCCCUCGCGACACUCACUGGAACCUGGUGAAGCGGAUUCUUCGGUACAUCCGCAGCACCACGGCUCUGGGUCUUACGUUGACGGCUUCGCCCUCGACUGUCCUGGUCGCCUACAGUGACGCCGAUCGGGCUGGCUGCCCGGACACGCGACGCUCGACUUCAGGCUACUACAUCUACCUGGAGCCCUCGCUCAUAUCGUGGUCGUCUAAAGGACAACCUACAGUAUCCCUCUCCAGUGCCGAGGCCGAGUAUCGUGUUAUGGCCAAUGCUGUCGCCGAGUGCUCGUGGCUUCGCCAGCUUCUCCAGGAGUUGCUUCUUGAUGUCCAGAAGGCCACCAUUGUCUACUGUGACAAUGUCUCUGCGGUCUUCCUCUCCGCCAACCCCGUUCAUCAUCGUCGCACGAAGCACAUUGAGCUCGACAUUCACUUCGUGCGAGAGCAGGUGGCUCUUGGGCGCGUCCGCGUUCUUCAUGUUCCCACUGCUCAGCAGUUUGCCGAUGUCAUGACGAAGGGGUUACCGACGCCUACAUUUGAUGAGUUUCGGUCCAGUCUAUGCGUCACUGGUGACGAAUCGACUGCGGGGGGGUGUUGAACAUAUUUGUGCAUGUAUCUGUUAGGAUAAUCUCCUACCGGCCCCGCCUCUAGUUUCCUUUAUAGAUGAGGCUCAGGGCUGCCUUUGUACCCAUAUAUACGUGCACCGUGCACCCGAUCAAUACAUCGAGAGUUGCAAUUGCCUUCAACACCUUGCACUGAAUUACAGCCAAUAAAGUUACGACUUAGAAUAGUUAACGCAACUAUAAAAACUGUUAUCGAAAUUAAUAAGAGACAAAAGGCAUAUGUGCUUACUGCUUAGUAGUCGUCAUGGCUCCUUUAUGAGCGUGAAACGGGAAUUGCACGACGAUGCUCGUCAUGUCCGCCACUCGUAGGAUGCAUGCUUGAGACGGAUGCAGCUCCUCCGGCAUCCACAGUGAGAACCACCGACCCUCUUGUACCAUUCGAUUGGGCUCACGGUUAAGAUCCAGAAUAUAUUGUUCCUCCAUCAAUGCGUUUUAUUCCUGUAGAUAUGAGAGAGCAUGACAGAAGGAAUCGUACAAAAGGUUUUUGUAUCUCUGAAGCUAUACCUUUGGCAGGCUUUUUUUAAGACUUUAUACGGGUUUUUGUUAGAAAAUUCACGAACUGUCAGAGGAAUAGGUAAGAGAGAGAACUACGCAUGCACAAACGAGCGAGUGUCAUCACUGUACAUCUCUUCUGCGCCAAUUUUCUCCUGUGGAAGGCGCAGGUCAUGUCCGUUUUGUCUGCGAGGAACCCUCGUUGAUGGUCAAGGUGGCACGGCACGGCGGCAGUAGUACCAUCAAGGUCCCCAAGGAGGUUCUAUCGAGACAGAAUAAGCAUAACCUGCACUUCACAAGGAGAGAAUUGGCACAGGUGAGAUGAACAGUGAUGAGCCCGACCAAGGGAUGGCGGCGGCAGGGCCUGAGAUGGAGCACCAGUGGCGUGGGAGGUCAUGCCACUCAUGGAUGGUGGACGAUGUGGCACGGGAGACAUGAGAUGGGGUCGUGGCUCUAAUGUUAAAUUGACAAAGAUGAUUUUGCUUGAGAUGCUCCUUGGGACUUUGCCUCCACUUAUAAUAGUCUCAACUCUAGAAUUAAGAUACGAUCGAAACAAAUAAAUUACUAGGAUAUUGCGAUCCCUACACAAUAAAAAAUUAUCUCUAACUGAUCAUAUGCCGAAUACUACGAGAUACUUACGCUAGCAACAUGAAUAGGUUGCACUAGUCCUGAGUCCAAGGAGAGCCUUUUGCAAGCGAAGUAGAUCAUGGAAGCGUAUGUGUGCCGCAUACAUGUUUAGCAUAUAGCAACGAGUAUAAGGAGUCGGUUGGUUUAGAUUAGUUUUGGGUCUCAUCAUCAACCUACACAAAGAGGAGAACGUACCUUAUCCUAACAAAUCAGAUUACAACAAAUUGAAUGAACGCGUGCUACCCAAAAGCUCUAGAAGGUUUGCUUUAUAAUCUGCCAUUCCUUUGCCGCCUCGGUCCCCUUCCUCUCUCCCUCCAGCGGUUCGUUGCCGGUUAGAGGGGUGGAGACUUGUCCCUUUUGUUCUUCUUUUCCAUAGAUGUUUAUUUCCCUAAUUUCAUCGGAUGAGGUGGUGGCAGCAAUGAUACAUUCCUCUCCUUACCUUAACUCGGCCGGUUUGAUGCCGACGAAGGGCAGGUGUUGUCAUAUUUGUUGGCUUUCUUCGGACCUUGGUAGUUGGUGUGCCAAUUAUGGGAAGCAGUUGGCUGGAUCAUGACGCGGCGACUUCUUGUUGAGUUAUUACGCGGCUUGGCCCGGUUUUCCAACCAUCUAGACUGACGGUGAAGGACUAUAUAACCUGCANNNNNNNNNNNNNNNNNNNNNNNNNNNNNNNNNNNNNNNNNNNNNNNNNNNNNNNNNNNNNNNNNNNNNNNNNNNNNNNNNNNNNNNNNNNNNNNNNNNNNNNNNNNNNNNNNNNNNNNNNNNNNNNNNNNNNNNNNNNNNNNNNNNNNNNNNNNNNNNNNNNNNNNNNNNNNNNNNNNNNNNNNNNNNNNNNNNNNNNNNNNNNNNNNNNNNNNNNNNNNNNNNNNNNNNNNNNNNNNNNNNNNNNNNNNNNNNNNNAUGUCCCAACCAAUAUUACUUCAGCGGUUACUAGAUCUCAUUCUAGUGCCAAGUGGUUAUUUCAGUCUUCAAAGUCUUGUAUGGCUAGGGCACUGGUAGGUGUCCUUUUCCCUUACUGAUUCUUCAUUGCAUUUUUCAAGCUCCGACGGACAAUGUACAAUUGAAGGAAGAUGACAACUAGGAUGGUUUUCAUUGUGAUACUAUUAUUUGUUGGUCAUAUUUCAUCUUGUUGUAUUUCCAUUGUAUUGCAUAUGGUUUUUAUUGAUUAUAUUCAGUUAUAGAUGCCCUAUGGGUGUCUUUUUUGACGAGAAAACGCGUUGUUCCUUGAUACAAUGGUUAAUACGUCCAAUUUAAUAUGCCCACUCACAUAGUUACCAUGUUGAGAUUGGUUUUAAAAUCUUCUAGUUGUUGUCUUGCUAAGGCUUUGGUGAAAUCAUUUGGAAUUUGACCAACUGUGGAAAUAAAAUCACAUUUUGGGUCAAGAUGGCAACGGGGAUGGAACCCGCAGGGUUUUGCUUGCUCAAAUCCUCCAAAACAUGCAGAAAACAACAACUGACACCGGACACUGAGUUAAUAGGUUAGUUCUCAAAAAUGAUAUAAAUAACAUAUAAAGCAUACAAGAUCGAUAAUAUAAUAGCAUGAAACAAUCAAAAAUUAUAGACACGUCGGAGACGUAUCAAUAAACCCUCCUAAAGACUUAGAUUCUAACGUAUAGUAAUGGAUCUAUUAAAUGAAAAAGAUAAAAAUGUUUUAUAAAGCCUGGCUUGUUACUGAUGGUUUAUGACAAGAUCAAAGGAGUUAGCUAUAAUGAAAUUGUCUCGUCAUGGCAAUACUUAAAGGCAGUUCGGGUUAAACUAGCAAUUACUACCUAUUUCAGUUAUGAGAUAUAAUAGAUGGAUGUCAAAAGGAUUCCCAUGCGAUGGAAAUAGAACCGAUGUAUAUAUGAUAUGGCAUGAGGUAAUUUUCUCAUCUAGAGGAUGCUACACUAGUAGAAAAUAUGGCUUUGGUCCAAGCAGGGAAAGCCCAUUAAUCCCGGUUCACUCACGAACCGGGACCCAUGGGGGCAUAGGUCCCGGUUCGUGAGGCCAGGGGGCGGCUGGGCCUCGUGGGGCAUUGGUCCCGGUUCGCCUGGCCACUUUGGUCCCGGUUCCAGGCAUGAACCGGGACCAAUGGGCCUCGCUCCUGGCCCACCACCAAAGGUUUUCCUUUAGUCCCGGUUUCGGUCAUGAACCGGGAGAUGCCUAUAUAUACCCCUUGCCCGCGAUCAGAGCAAUGCAGUGCUCUGCUUUUUUGGGGAGAGGUGUGUGAGAGGUGUGUUGUGCUCUAGCUCACCUCCUAUGCACAUGAGGUGUUCGAUGAAAUGCCGAGCCACACUUAAGCUUUCUCCUCUCGAAGGUCCUUGUCCAAGCUCCAUUUUCCUCAAAAUUUGUCUAGGUUAGGCUGUCCGUCCUGUCCUGUCCCCGUCCUCACCACCGUCGAUCGCCCGUGCCGAUCUCGUCGCCGGUACCACCGUGAGCCACUUGUUCUUAUCUUCUUUCUAAAAGAAAAAAGUGUUGGGGAUCGUUGCAGAAAAUAAAAAUUUUCCUACGCAUCACCAAGAUCAAUCUAUGGAGUAACUAGCAACGAGAGAGAGAGGAGUGCAUCUUCAUACCCUUGAAGACAACGAGACGGAAGCAUUACAAGAACGCGGAUGAGGGAGUCGUACUCGAAGCGAUUCAGAUCACGGUGGAUUCCGAUCUUAGCGCCGAACAACGGCACCUCCGCGUUCAACACACGUGCAGCCCGAUGACGUCUCCUGUGCCUUGAUCCAGCAAGGAGGAGGGAAAGGUUGAGAAAGAGAGCUCCAACAACAGCACGACGGCGUGGUGGUGAUGGAGAGGCAGUACUCCGGCAGGGCUUCGCCAAGCGCUCGCGGAGGAGGAGAGGUGUUGGGGAGGGGAGGGGCUGCACCUUAGGUGUUGUGUUGCAGCCCUCCCCUCGCCCCUCUGUUUAUAGGAGGAGGGGGAAGGGGGCCGGCCCCCUCUAGAUGAGAUCUAGAGGGGGGGCGGUGGCCAAGGGGAGGGGGCUUGCCCCCCAAGCAAGGGGGGCGCCCCCUCUAGGGUUUCCCCCCAACCCUAGGCGCAUGGGCCCAAGGGGGGGAUGCGCCCAGCCCUCCAAGGGCUGGUUCCCUUCCCACUACGGCCCAUGAGGCUCUCCGAGAGAGGUGGCCCCUCCCGAUGGACCCCCGGAACCCUCCGGUGGCCCCGAUACAAUACCGGUAUGCCCCCGAACUUUUCUGGUGACCGUAUGACAACUUCCCAUAUAUAAAUCUUCACCUCCGGACCAUUCCGGAACUCCUCGUGACGUCCGAGAUCUCAUCUGGGACUCUGAACAACAUUCAGUAAUCACUUACAAGUCUUUCUAAUAACCCUAGCGUCAUCGAACCUUAAGUGUGUAGACCCUACGGGUUCGGGAAUCACGCAGACAUGACCGAGAGAACUCUCCAGCCAAUAACCAACAGCGGGAUCUGGAUACCCAUGUUGGCUCCCACAUGUUCCAUGAUGAUCUCAUCGGAUGAACCAUGAUGUCGAGGAUUCAAGUAAUCCCGUAUACAAUUCCCUUUGUCAAUCGGUACGUUACUUGCCCGAGAUCCGAUUGUCAGUAUCCCAAUACCUCGUUCAAUCUCGUUACCGGCAAGUCACUUUACUCGUUACAUAAUGCAUGAUCUCGUGACUAACCACUUAGUCACAUUGAGCUCAUUAUGAUGAUGCAUUACCGAGUGGGCCCAAAGAUACCUCUCCGUCAUACGGAGUGACAAAUCCCAGUCUCGAUUCGUGCCAACCCAACAGACACUUUUGGAGAUACCUGUAGUGCACCUUUAUAGUUACCCAGUUACGUUGUGACGUUUGGUACACCCAAAGCACUCCUACCGUAUCCGGGAGUUACACAAUCUCUUGGUCUAAGGAAAUGAUACUUGACAUUUAGAAAAGCUUAAGCAAACGAACUACACGAUCUUGUGCUAUGCUUAGGAUUGGGUCUUGUCCAUCACAACAUUCUCCUAAUGAUGUGGUCUCGUUAUCAGUGACAUCCAAUGUCCAUAGUCAGGAAACCAUGACCAUCUAUUGAUCAACGAGCUAGUCAACUAGAGGCUCACUAGGGACAUGUUGUGGUCUAUGUAUUCACACAUGUAUCACUGUUUCCGGUUAAUACAAUUAUAGCAUGAAUAAUAGACAAUUAUCAUGAACAAGGAAAUAUAAUAAUAAUCAUUUUAUUAUUGCCUCUAGGGCAUAUUUCCAACAGUCUCCCACUUGCACUAGAGUCAAUAAUCUAGUUACACUGUGAUGAAUCGAACACCCAUAGAGUUUUGGUGUUGAUCAUGUUUUGCUUGCGGAAGAGGUUUAGUCAACGGAUCUGCGAUAUUCAGAUCCGUAUGCACUUUGCAAAUGUCUAUGUCUCCAUCUUGAACAUUUUCACGAAUGGAGUUGAAGCGACGCUUGAUGUGCCUGGUCUUCUUGUGAAACCUGGGCUCCUUGGCAAGGGCAAUAGCUCCAGUGUUGUCACAGAAGAGAGUGACCGGCCCCGACACAUUGGGAAUAACUCCUAGGUCGGUGAUGAACUCCUUCAUAUAGAUUGCUUCAUGAGCUGCCUCCGAGGCUGCCAUGUAUUCCGCUUCACAUGUAUAUCCCGCCACGACGCUCUACUUGCUACUGCACCAGCUUACUGCCCCACAAUUCAAAAUAUACACGUAUCUAGUUUGUGACUUGGAGUCAUCCAGAUCCGUGUCGAAGCUAGCAUUGACGUAACCCUUUACGACGAGCUCUUUGUAACCUCCAUAAACAAGAAACAUAUCCUUAGUCCUUUUCAGGUACUUCAGGAUAUUCUUGACCGCUGUCCAGUGUUCCAUGCCGGGAUUACUUUGGUAUCUUGCUACCAAACUUACGGCAAGGUUUACAUCAGGUCUGGUACACAGCAUGGCAUACAUAAUAGACCCUAUAGCCGAGGCAUAGGGGAUGACACUCAUCUUUUCUUUAUCUUCUGCCGUGGUCGGGGAUUGAGCCGAGCUCAAUUUCACACCUUGCAACACAGGCAAGAACCCCUUCUUGGAUUGAUCCAUAUUGAACUUCUUCAAUAUCUUGUCAAGGUAUGUGCUUUGUGAAAGACCUAUGAGGCGUCUCGAUCUAUCUCUAUAGAUCUUGAUGCCUAAUAUAUAAGCAGCUUCUCCAAGGUCCUUCAUUGAAAAACACUUGUUCAAGUAGGCCUUUAUGCUGUCCAAAAGUUCUAUAUCAUUUCUCAUCAAAAGUAUGUCAUCCACAUAUAAUAUGAGAAAUGCUACAAAGCUCCCACUCACUUUCUUGUAAACACAGGCUUCUCCAUAAGUCUGCAUAAACCCAAACACUUUGAUCAUUUCAUCAAAACGAAUGUUCCAACUCCGAGAUGCUUGCACCAGCCCAUAAAUGGAUCGCUGGAGCUUGCAUACCUUGUUAGUAUUCUUAGGAUCGACAAAACCUUCUGGCUGCAUCAUAUACAACUCUUCCUUAAGAUAGCCGUUAAGGAAUGCCGUUUUGACGUCCAUUUUCCAUAUCUCAUAAUCAUAGUAUGUGGCAAUUGCUAACAUGAUUCAGACGGACUUCAGCUUCGCUACAGGUGAGAAGGUCUCAUCGUAGUCAACCCCUUGAACUUGUCGAUAACCCUUAGCGACAAGUCAAGCCUUAUAGAUGGUAAUAUUACCAUCCGCGUCUGUCUUCUUCUUAAAGAUCCAUUUGUUUUCUAUCGCUCACCGAUCAUCUGGCAAGUUUGUCAAAGUCCAUACUUUGUUUUCAUACAUGGAUCCUAUCUCAGACUGCAUGGCUUCAAGCCAUUUGUUGGAAUCUGGGCCCGCCAUCGCUUCUUCAUAGUUCGAAGGUUCACCGUUGUGUAACAACAUGAUUUCUAGGACAGGGUUUCCAUACCAUUCUGGUGUGGAACGUGUCCUUGUGGACCUACGAAGUUCAGUAGUAACUUGAUCCGAAGUACCUUGAUCAUCAUCAUUAACUUCCUCUCCAGUCGGUGUAGGCACCACAAGAACAUCUUCCUGAGCUGCUCUACUUACCGGUUCAAGAGGUAGUACUUCAUCAAGUUCCACCUUCCUCCCACUUACUUCUUUCGAGAGAAACUCUUUCUCUAGAAAGGACCCAUUCUUGGCAACAAAGAACUUGCCUUCGGAUCUGAGGUAGAAGGUAUACCCAAUUGUUUCCUUAGGGUAUCCUAUGAAGACACAUUUUUCCGACUUGGGUUCGAGCUUUUCAGGUUGAAGUUUCUUGACAUAAGCAUCGCAUCCCCAAACUUUUAGAAACGUCAGCUUAGGUUUCUUUCCAAACCAUAAUUCAUACGGUGUCGUCUCAACGGAUUUAGACGGUACCCUAUUUAAAGUGAAUGUAGCUGUCUCUAAAGCGUAUCCCCAAAAUGGUAGCGGUAAAUCGGUAAGAGACAUCAUAGACCGCACCAUAUCCAAUAGAGUGCGAUUACGCUGUUCGGACACACCGUUACGCUGAGGUGUUCCAGGUGGCAUGAGUUGUGAAACGAUUCCACAUUUCCUUAAGUGCGUACCAAACUCAUGACUUAAAUAUUCUCCCCCACGAUCUGAUCAUAAGAACUUUAUUUUUCUAUCAUGUUGAUUCUCUACCUCAUUCUGAAAUUCCUUGAACUUUUCAAAGGUCUUAGACUUAUGUUUCAUCAAGUAGACAUACCCAUAUCUACUUAAGUCAUCAGUGAGGGUGAGAACAUAACGAUAGCCACCGCGAGCCUCAACACUCAUUGGACCACACACAUCAGUAUGUAUAAUCUCCAAUAAGUUGGUUGCUCGCUCCAUUGUUCCGAAGAACGGAGUCUUGGUCAUUUUGCCCAUGAGGCAUGGUUCGCACGUGUCAAAUGAUUCGAAAUCAAGAGACUCCAAAAGCCCAUCUGUAUGGAGCUUCUUCAUGCGUUUGACACCAAUGUGACCAAGGCGGCAGUGCCACAGAUAUGUGGGACUAUCAUUAUUAAUCUUACAUCUUUUGGUAUUCACACUAUGAAUAUGUGUAACAUCACAUUCGAGAUUCAUUAAGAAUAAACCAUUGACCAGCGGGGCAUGACCAUAAAACAUAUCUCUCAUAUAAAUAGAACAACCAUUAUUCUCAGAUUUAAAUGAGUAGCCAUCUCGUAUUAAACGAGAUCCAGAUACAAUGUUCAUGCUCAAAGCUGGCACUAAAUAACAAUUAUUGAGGUUUAAAACUAAUCCCGUAGGUAAAUGCAGAGGUAGCGUGCCGACGGUGAUCGCAUCGAGCUUGGAACCAUUCCCGACGCGCAUCGUCACCUCGUCCUUCGCCAGUCUCCGCUUAUUCCGCAGCUCUAGUUUUGAGUUACAAAUAUGAGCAACCGCACCGGUAUCAAAUACCCAGGAGCUACUACGAGUACUGGUAAGGUACACAUCAAUAACAUGUAUAUCACAUAUACCUUUGGUGUUGCCAGCCUUCUUAUCCGCUAAGUACUUGGGGCAGUUCCGCUUCCAGUGACCGUUUCCCUUGCAAUAGAAGCACUCAGUCUCAGGUUUGGGUCCAUGCUUUGGCUUCUUCCCAGCAACUGGCUUACCGGGCGUGGCAACUCCCUUGCCGUCCUUCUUGAAGUUCUUCUUACCCUUGCUUUUCUUGAAACUAGUGGUUUUAUUGACCAUCAACACUUGAUGCUCCUUUUUGAUCUCCACCUCCGCUGAUUUCAGCAUUGAAAAUACCUCAGGAAUGGUUUUCACCAUCCCCUGGAUAUUGUAGUUCAUCACAAAGCUCUUGUAGCUAGGUGGGAGCGAUUGGAGGAUUCUGUCAAUGACCGCGUCAUCCGGGAGAUUAACUCCCAACUGAGAUAAGCGGUUGUGCAACCCAGACAUUUUGAGUAUGUGCUCACUGAUAGAACCAUUCUACUCCAUCUUACAACUAUAGAACUUGUCGGAGACUUCAUAUCUCUCGACCCGGGCAUGAUCUUGGAAAACCAUUUUCAGCUCUUGGAACAUCUCAUAUGCUCUAUGCUGCUCAAAACGCUUUUGGAGCCCCGGUUCUAAGCUGUAAAGCAUGCCGCACUGAACCAGGGAGUAAUCAUCACUAGGCGACUGCCAGACGUUCAUAACAUCUUGAGUUGCUGGGAAAACGGGUGCUUCACCUAGCGGUGCAUCUAGGACAUAUGCUCUUUUGGCGGCUAUGAGGAUGAUUCUCAAGUUCCGGACCCAGUCCGCAUAGUUGCUGCCAUCGUCUUUCAUCUUGGUUUUCUCUAGGAACGCGUUGAAGUUGAGGGCAACAUUAGCGUGGGCCAUUUGAUCUACAAGACAUAUUGCAAAUGUUUUAGACUAAGUUCAUGAUAAUUAAGUUCAUCUAAUCAAAUUAUUUAAUGAACUCCCACUCAGAUAGACAUCCCUCUAGUCAUCUAAGUGAUCCAUGAUCCGAGUCAACUAGGCCGUGUCCGAUCAUCACGUGAGACGGACUAGUCAUCAUCGGUGAACAUCAUCAUGUUGAUCGUAUCUUCUAUAUGACUCAUGUUCGACCUUUCGGUCUCUUGUGUUCCGAGGCCAUGUCUGUAUAUGCUAGGCUUGUCAAGUCAACCUAAGUGUUUUUGCAUGUGUAAAUCUGUCUUACACCCGUUGUAUGUGAACGUUAGAAUCUAUCACACCCGAUCAUCACGUGUUGCUUCGAAACAACGAACUUUCGCAACGGCGCACAGUUAGGGGGAACACUUUCUUGAAAUUAUUAUGAGGGAUCAUCUUAUUUACUACCGUCGUUCUAAGAAAAUAAGAUGCAAAAACAUGAUAAACAUCACAUGCAAUCAAAUAGUGACAUGAUAUGGCCAAUAUCAUUUUGCUCCUUUUGAUCUCCAUUUUCGGGGCACCAUGAUCAUCAUCGUCACCGGCGUGACACCAUGAUCUCCAUCAUCAUGAUCUCCAUCAUCGUGUCUCCAUGAAAUUGUCUCGCCAACUAUUACUUCUACUACUAUCGCUAACGGUUUAGCAAUGAAGUAAAGUAAUUACAUGGCGUUAUUCAGUGACACGCAGGUCAUACAAUAAAUAAAGACAACUCCUAUGGCUCCUGGCGGUUGCCAUACUCAUCGACAUGCAAGUCAUGAUUCCUAUUACAAGAACAUGAUCAAUCUCAUACAUCACAUAUAUUUCAUUCAUCACAUCCUUUUUGGCCAUAUCACAUCACAAGGCAUAUGCUGCAAAAACAAAUUAGACGUCCUCUAAUUGUUGUUGCAUGUUUUUACGUGGCUGCAAUAGGGUUCUAGCAAGAACGUUUCUUACCUACGUUAAAACCGCAACGUGAUGUGCCAAUUUCAAUUUACCCUACAUAAGGAACCUUUUCAUCGAAUCCGAUCCGACUAAGGUGGGAUAGACAGACACCCGCUAGCCACCUUAUGCAACUAGUGCAUGUCAGUCGGUGGAACCUGUCUCACGUAAGCGUAUGUGUAAGGUCGGUCCGGGCGGCUUCAUCCCACGAUACCGCUGAAACAAGAUAAGACUAAUAGUGGCAAGUAAAUUGACAAAAUCUACGCCCACAACAAAAUUGUGUUCUACUCGUGCAUAGAAACUACGCAUAGACCUCUCUGAUACCACUGUUGGGGAUCGUUGCAGAAAAUAAUUUUUUUCCUACACAUCACCAAGAUCAAUCUACGGAGUAACUAGCAACGAGAGAGAGAGAGAGAGGAGUGCAUCUUCAUACCCUUGAAGACAGCGAGACAGAAGCGUUACAAGAACGCGGAUGAGGGAGUCGUACUUGAAGCGAUUCAGAUCGUGGUGGAUUCCGAUCUUAGCGCCGAACAACGGCACCUCCGUGUUCAACACACGUGCAGCCCGGUGACGUCUCCCGCGCCUUGAUCUAGCAAGGAGGGAGAGGUUGAGGAAGAGAGCUCCAACAGCAGCACGACGGCGUGGUGGUGAUGGAGAGGCAGUACUCCGGCAGGGCUUCGCCAAGCGCUCGCGGAGGAGGAGAGGUGUUGGGGAGGGGAGGGGCUGCGCCUUAGCUGUUGUGUUGCAGCCCUCCCCUCGCCCCUCUAUUUAUAGGAGGAGGGGGAAGGGGGCCGGCCCCCUCUAGAUGAGAUCUAGAGGGGGGGCGGCGGCCAAUGGGAGGGGGCUUGCCCCCCAAGCAAGGGGGGCGCCCCCUCUAGGGUUUCCCCCAACCCUAGGCACAUGGGCCCAAGGGGGGGGGAUGCGCCCAGCCCUCCAAGGGCUGGUUCCCUUCCCACUACGGCCCAUGAGGCCCUCCGAGAGAGGUGGCCCCUCCCGGUGGACCCCCGGAACCCUCCGGUGGCCCCGAUACAAUACCGGUAUGCCCCCGAACUUUUUUGGUGACCGUAUGGCAACUUCCCAUAUAUAAAUCUUCACAUCCAGACCAUUCCGAAACUCCUCAUGAUGUCCGGAAUCUCAUCCGGGACUCCGAACAACAUUCAGUAAUCACUUACAAGUCUUCCUAAUAACCCUAGCAUCUCGAACCUUAAGUGUGUAGACCCUACGGGUUCGGGAAUCACGCAGACAUGACCGAGACAGCUCUCCAGCCAAUAACCAACAGUGGGAUCUGUAUACCCAUGUUGGCUCCCACAUGUUCCACGAUGAUCUCAUCGGAUGAACCAUGAUGUCGAGGAUUCAAGUAAUCCCGUAUACAAUUCCCUUUGUCAAUCGGUACGUUACUUGCCCGAGAUCCGAUCGUCGGUAUCCCAAUACCUCAUUUUUUUCGUUACCGGCAAGUCACUUUACUCGUUACAUAAUGCAUGAUCCCAUGACUAACCACUUAGUCACAUUGAGCUCAUUAUGAUGAUGCAUUACCGAGUGGGCCCAGAGAUACCUCUCCGUCAUACGGAGUGACAAAUCCUAGUCUCGAUUCGUGCCAACCCAACGGACACUUUCGGAGAUACCUGUAGUGCACCUUUAUAGUCACCCAGUCAUGUUGUGACGUUUGGUACACCCAAAGCACUCCUACCAUAUCCGGGAGUUACACAAUCUCAUGGUCUAAGGAACUGAUACUUGACAUUUAGAAAAGCUUUAACAAACAAACUACACGAUCUUGUGCUAUGCUUAGGAUUGGGUCUUGUCCAUCACAUCAUUCUCCUAAUGAUGUGGUCUCCUUAUCAAUGACAUCCAAUGUCCAUAGUCAGGAAACCAUGACCAUCUGUUGAUCAACGAGCUAGUCAACUAGAGGCUCACUAGGGACAUGUUGUGGUCUAUGUAUUCACACAUGUAUCACUGUUUCCGGUUAAUACAAUUAUAGCAUGAAUAAUAGUCAAUUAUCAUGAACAAGGAAAUAUAAUAAUAAUCAUCUUAUUAUUGCCUCUAGGGCAUAUUUCCAACAAAAAGUUCUUACUUGUAUGAUUUAGAUAGAUACUUGUUUAGUUUUCUUACUUAUUAUUGUUUGAUAUUAUAUAGUGUGAUGGUUUUGGUAUCCGCCUCCGUGGGCCCUCGACCUGUCUAUGCUUUGGAUGUUGUAUAUAUAUUAUCUUCUUAACUAUUUGUUUCAUUUAGUGUUUAUUACAAUUAUGCCGAGCAACGUGACAUAGAUUUUUUAUCUAGGAGGUAUGCGAACCGGAAAUUCCAACCGACCCUAUUGUUGAGAGGUUAAAUUUAGUUGAAAAAGAAAACAACUACUUGAAGGAAAAAUUGAAAAAUUGAGGAGGAGAAGAUGAUAUUGGAGUUGCAUGUUGCGGAUGUCGUCAAUGAUCACAAGAUCAAGAUGGAUGCAAUGCGCUUGAAGAUUAGAAAGAUUAGAAAAUAUGCCAUUCAUACUGAGGCUUGGUAUCAUUAUGACGUUGGAUCAAUUGUUACCUUAGUUGCGAUUAUGAUCGCAUUUGUUGUUGCAUUGAUAUGUUUUAGAUAGUUUUAAUGUAUGGUUUAAUUAGAUGCUCUGGAGAGCUAUAUGUUGUUCAAUGAGAACUAUGUAUGUACUUUGGUUUUAAUGUGAUGAUGAACUUCUAUUAAUUUGGUCACUUAUGUAUUCAUGAUGUUUUGUAAUGGUGUUUGACACACUUAAUUAUAUAUAAUGCACGCAGAUGAACCGACAAUGGAUGUACAAUGGCAGACGCACCUCUGAGUACAUUAAGAGCGUGCAUAAUUUUCUCGAAGUGGCCGAGGCAAACAAGCAGAAUGGUUUUAUGUGUUGUCCAUGCCCUAUAUGUGGGAAUACGAAGUCUUACUCUGACCGCAAAAUCCUUCACAGCCACGUGCUUUACAAGGGUUUCAUGCCACAUUAUAAUGUUUGGACCAAGCACGGAGAAACAAGGGUUAUGAUGGAAGACAACAAAGAAGAAGAGGAUGAUGACAACUAUAAGCCCCCUGAAUACGGUGAUGCUGCAACGAGAGAAGCUGAAGAUCAAGAGGAACCAAACGAUGUGCACCAUGAUGAUCUUCCCCGGGUCAUUGUUGAUGCAAAGAGACAGUGCGAAAGUGUAAAGGAGAAGUUGAAGUCGAUCGCAUGUUAGAGGAUCACAAAAAAGGGUUGUACCCCAAUUGCAAAGAUGGCAACACAAAGCUCGGUACCACACUGGAAUUGCUGCAGUGGAAGGCAGAGAAUGGUGUACCUAACAAAGAAUUUGAGAAGCUACUGAAAAUAUUGAAGAACAAGCUUCCAAAGGAUAAGGAAUUUCCCGACAGUACAUACGGAGCAAAGAAGGUUGUAUGCCCUUUAGGAUUGGAGGUGCAAAAGAUACAUGCAUGCCCUAAUGACUGCAUCCUCCACCGCGGUGCAUACGAGGAUUUGAACGCAUGCCCGGUAUGUGGUGCAUUGCGGUAUAAGAUCAGACGAGAUGACCCUAGUGAUGUCGACGGCGAGAGCCCCAGGAAGAGGGUUCUUACCAAGGUGAUGUGGUAUGCUCCUAUAAUACCACGGUUGAAACGUCUGUUCAGAAACAAAGAGCAUGCCAAGUUGAUGCGAUGGCACAGAGAGGACAGUAUGAAAGACGGGAAGUUGAGAGCACCCGCUAACGUAUGGUUUGGUUUAAGCGCGUAUGUCAUUAAUCCUUUUGGGAAGCAGAGCAGCAAUCACAACACCUGGCCUGUGACUCUAUGCAUCUAUAACCUUCCUCCUUGGCUGUGCAUGAAGCGGAAGUUCAUUAUGAUGCCAGUUCUCAUCCAAGGCCCUAAGCAACUCGGUAACAACAUUGAUGUGUACCUAAGGCCAUUAGUUGAAGAACUUUUACAACUGUGGAAUGGAAACGGUGUACAUGUGUGGGAUGAGCACAAACAACAGGAAAUUGACCUACAUGCGUUGCUGUUUGUAACCAUCAAUGAUUGGUCUGCUCUCAGUAACCUUUUAGGAUAGACAAACAAGGGAUACCAUGCAUGCACGCACUGUCUAGAUGACACCGAAAGUAUAUACCUGGAAAAAUGCAGGAAGAAUGUACCUGGGGCAUCAUUGAUUUCUUCCGACCAACCAUCAAUGUCGAAAGAAAGGCAAACAUUUCAAAGGCGAGGCAUAUCAUCGAAAGAAGCCCGCCGUCCAUACCGGUGAUCACAUACUUGCUAUGGUCAAUGAUUUAUAAGUAAUCUUUGGAAAGGGUCCCGGCGAACUAUCUGUUCCGAAUGACACUGACGGAUGCACACCCAUGUGGAAGAAGAAAUCUAUAUUUUGGGACCUACCCUACUGGAAAGACUUAGAGGUCCACUCUUAAAUCGACGUGAUGCACGUGAUGAAGAAUCUUUGCGUGAACCUGCUAGGCUUCUUGGGCAUGUAGGGGAAGUCAAAAGAUAUACCGGAGGGACAGGAGGACCAGCAACGUGUGCACGAAAAAGAUGGCAUGCCUCCAGAGUAGUAUGAAGGUCCUGCCAGCUAUGCUCUUACCAAAGAAGAGAAGGAAAUCUUGUUUGAAUGCAUGCUUAGUAUGAAGGUCCCGUCUAGCUUCUCGUCGAAUAUAAAUGGAAUAAUAAAUAUGCCAGAGAAAAAGUUCCAGAACCUAAAGUCUCAUGACUGCCACGUGAUUAUGACGCAACUGCUUCUGGUUGCAUUGAGGGGGCUUCUACCGGAAAACGUUCGAUUAGCCAUUAUGAAGUUAUGUUCAUUCCUAAAUGCAAUCUCUGAGAAGGUGAUCGAUCCAGAAAUCCUACCACGGUUAAGGAGUGAUGUGGCGCAAUGUCUUGUUAGUUUCGAGCUGGUGUUCCCACCAUCCUUCUUCAAUAUCAUGACACACGUCCUAGUUCAUCUAGUCGGCGAGAUUGUCAUUCUGGGCCCUGUAUUUCUACACAAUAUGUUCCACUUUGAGAGGUUCAUGGGAGUCCUGAAGAAUUAUGUCUGUAACCGCGCUAGGCCAGAAGGAAGCAUCUCCAUGGGCCAUCAAACAGAGGAUGUCAUUUGGUUUUGUGUUGACUUCAUUCCUGGCCUUAAGAAGAUAGGUAUCCCUCAAUCACAGUAUGAGGGGAGACUGAGUGGAAAAGGAACGCUAGGAGAGGACUCAAUAAUAUGUAGGGACGGGCAUUCUUGGUCUCAAGCACACUACACAGUUCUACAGAAUUCUACCUUGGUGACCCUGUAUGUCGAUGAACACAAGAACAUUCUGCGCUCCAAACACCCGGACCAGUGUGACGACUGGAUUACAUGUGAACACAUCAGGACUUUUGGCAGUUGGUUGCAAACACGUCUCAGGGGUGACAACACUGUUUCUGAUGAGUUGUACUCGUUGGCCAGGGAACCAUCUUCGACUGUAAUGACUUACAAAGGGUACGAGAUAAAUGGGAAUACAUUUUACAUGAUCACCCAAGAUCAAAAGGGCACCAACCAAAAUUGUGGUGUCCGCUUUGAUGCAGCAACCAAGAGGGGAAAGGACACAUAUUAUGGUUACAUAGUGGACAUAUGGGAACUUGACUAUGGACAUGAUUUUAAGGUCCCUUUGUUUAAGUGCAAUUGGGUCAAUCUGUCAGGAGGCGGGGUUCAGGUAGACCCACAGUACGGAAUGACAAUAGUGGAUCUGAACAAUUUUGGGUACACAGACGAACCAUUCAUCCUAGCCAAUGAUGUGGCGCAGGUUUUCUAUGUGAAUGACAUGUCUACCAAACCGAGAAAAAGAAAAAGAUAAGGAAGCAAAUACAUCAUACGAUGAGCCAAAGCGCCACAUAAUUCUUUCACGAAAAAGAGACAUCAUGGGAUUGGAGGGCAAGACAGACAUGUCUGAAGAUUAUGAAAAGUUUCAUGAAAUUCCUCCCUUUAAAGUCAAGUCUGACCCAAGCACCCUGUUAAAUGAUGAAGAUUAUCCAUGGUUACGGUGCAAUAAGCAAAGGACACAAGCGAAGAUAAAGUGAAGACUUUCUCUCCACAACUAUUAUGAUGAUGCCUUUGAUCUAGAAUAUCACUGCAGUUACAUGUGAAGAAAUUAAAUGCCAUUUGUAACAGACGAGUUUCCGUGUGAAACCCUGAUACUUCGAAAGAGAUUGUCUGUUUUGUACGUGAAGUGCAUCCAGUUUUUGCCGUAACCCUCUCAACUUUUUAGCACGUGCUAUGUGGGUGAAAUGAUGAUACCAUGCCAACUUUCAACCUUUUCAGAGUUCAUUUGUAGUGCUUUUCAAUUUAAGGGUCGUUUAGCUCAAAAAGGUCAGUAAAUGCAUGAAAAAUACCAAAUGAAGUGAGAAAGGGUUGAAAAUUGAUGAUGUGGCUUUGAAUGGUGCAUUUUGAACACAAAAAAGUCUGGAGUUCAAAUAAGUUCAAAAAACUUGAACUCUUUGUAACAGAUGAGUUGUCGUCCGAAACCCUGAUACUUUGAAAGAGAUUGUCCAUUUUGUACAUGAAGUGCAUCCAGUUUUUGCCGUAACCCUCUCAACUUUUUAGCACAUGCUAUGUGGGCGAAAUGAGGAUACCAUGCCAACUUUCAACCUUUUCAGAGUUCAUUUGUAGUGCUUUUCAAUUGAAGGGUCAUUUAGCUCAAAGAAUGAACUAAUAGCAAAAAGAAUGAACUAAAAAUAAUCAAUUAAAAUAUUCUGUUAUGAGCAACUAAAACAAAAUUAUAUUAUUCUUCAAUACCAAAAAGAAUCAACUAUAAAGCUUUUAUAAAACUCCAAUAGCAAAAUGAAUCAACUAAAAAGCUUUUAUAAACCUCUAGUAUUAUUGAAACUAAAAUUAUAUAAAAUUUAUGCAACAAAAAUUAUCAAAGUAUUUUCUGUUCAAAACAUUAAAAGCAAAAAUAAUUUUCAUAAAGAAUUUUUUGUUAGAAAUUUUAAUAGAAAAAGAAUUAUCAUAAAGACUUUUUUGUUAGAAACUAAAAUAACAAAAUAUGUUUUUGAAUAUAAUGAUAAAACACGGUAAUAUUAAAUAUCAGGAAAAAGAAUCACUCCAAAAUCUAUUUUUAUAGUAAAGUUAAUCACAAACUAGUGAUUCAUGCAAAUUUCAAAGAAUUCAAAUUUAAACUAUUCAAAUUUAAAAAGUAAUGGCACUAACAGAAAGUUUAUAAUUUUUGUGACCUAAAAGCAAAAAAGAAUUAAAAAAUAAAGCAAAAAACAAAAGAAAAUAAAUAAUGCAAAAGACAAAACAGAAAAUUGGAAAAAAAUUAAAAAAACGCCACCUACUAGGCAACCACGACCUGAAUACAUCUAGAAACCCAACCAUGGGACAGGAUUCAGGCCCGCAGAAGGCCCAGUAGGCCCACAAGCAUAGCAGUGUCAGAUUAGGCCCGUAAGCCUGCAUUGGAGAGGAGCUCGAGAGGGCACCGGCAGUGGGGCUUAUAAACCACUCUGAGACCCUCUCGACUAGUGAGGUGGGACUAAACUUUUUGGCCGCGGGCAGCACAAGGCCUUUGGUCCCGGUUGGUAGCACCAACCGGGACAAAAGGUGUGCAUUGGUACCGGUUCGUGGCACCAACCGGGACCAAUGCCACCUUUAGUCCCGGUUGGUGCCACCAACCAGGACCAAAGGUCCCUAUGAAAAUAGACCCCAGGUUGGUGGCACCAACCGGGACUAAAAGGUGGCAUUGAUCCCGGUUGGUGCCACGAACCAGGACCAAUGCUUCGUCAAUAUAAGCAACACUUGUGAAAAUUUUCAUUCAGUUCGUCUUCGAUCCCUCUGAUGACUCCGGCAGGCUGCCCCUCUACCCCACCGUCGCCGUCGUCGCCCUACCUCCGACGCCGUCGCCGCGCCCCUGCCCCGAGCCCUCGUUGCCGUGCGCACCCCUGCCCCCGACGCCGUCACUGCGCCACCCCUGCCCCGAGCCCUCGUCAUCGCGCCACCCCUGCCCCGCGUCGUCACCGCCCUGGUCCGUGCCGCCCCGCACUACAGUCCGGCCGGCCCCCUCCAUCCUUGUCCGAUCCUCCUCCCCUAGCUAGCUUAGUUUGUUCAUAUACAUUUUUUUCAUAUGAUUUUGUUAGAUGAUGUUGAUGAUAGAUAUGAUGAUGUUGAGGAUAGAUGAUGUAUACUUUUUUUGUUCAUGUAAUUUUUUUGUUCAUAAUGUAUGCUUUUUUGUUCAUAUGAUGAUUUUUUUCAUAUAUGUAUUAAUUUUUUAAUUUAGGUUGUUAGUAGAUAUCGAUUUUAGGUUAGUAUAUUUUAGGUUUGUUGUACUGCUAGUGCAUUUUUGGUUAGUAGAUAGAAAAAAGGAAAAUAAGGAAAAAGAAGAAAAGAGGGAAAGGAGGAAGGAAGAAGAAAAAGAAGGAGAGGAAAAAGGAAAAUAAGAAGAAGAAGAAGGAGAAGAAGAAGGAGAAGAAGAGGAGAGGGAAGAAGAGGAGAAAAAAUAAGAAGAGGAAAAAAAGAGGAGUCCUCCUUUUCUUCUUCUUCUUCCUCUUCUUAUUUUUAUCGGGAACGAGGGUGUCGAGGAUCGCUGAGUGGUGGNNNNNNNNNNNNNNNNNNNNNNNNNNNNNNNNNNNNNNNNNNNNNNNNNNNNNNNNNNNNNNNNNNNNNNNNNNNNNNNNNNNNNNNNNNNNNNNNNNNNNNNNNNNNNNNNNNNNNNNNNNNNNNNNNNNNNNNNNNNNNNNNNNNNNNNNNNNNNNNNNNNNNNNNNNNNNNNNNNNNNNNNNNNNNNNNNNNNNNNNNNNNNNNNNNNNNNNNNNNNNNNNNNNNNNNNNNNNNNNNNNNAGGGUCGCCAAGGGGUCGAGGUUUGAGGAUCGCCGAGGGGUCGAGGGUUGUCGAGGGGUCGAGGUUCGAGGAUCGCCGAGGGGUCGAGGGUCGUCGAGGGGUCGAAGGUCUCCUUUUAACAAGAAUGCCCCAUUAUGUAUGUGCACAAGUUGAUCCAUUUUUUUUUCUGAUCUCAUCUACGUAACGUCCUAUAUGUCACGUUGUCUUGUGUCAAAGUAUUAAAGAAAUCCAUGCUUCAUCAUUAACCGGAAGUAACAAGGGCAUGAUGGUACAAAGCUCUCCAAAGUUAUUUUGGAACGGAGUCCCGGAUAGGAUAAUUCGCUUUUUGCUACGAAGUUCAGCAAAGGCCUUCCAAAUAGCGAUAUUCGGAAUACUCUUGCUGAACUUCGUAACAAAAAGUGAAUUAUCCUAUCUGGGACUCCGUUCCAAAAUAACUUUGGAGAGCUUCGUACCGUCAUGCCCCGGCUACUUCCGACUAAUGAUGAAGCCAUGCUUUUCUUGAAUCCUUUGACACUAGACAACAUGACAUAUAGAAGGGUAGAUGAGAUCAGGAAAAAUAUGGACCAUUUUCUGCACAUCCCGAAUGGUGCCGUUUUGUUAAAUCCCUUGUUUGAAAUUCAUGAGAGAGGCAGUCUGGACGUCGGACAUUCAUGAGAGAACUCUGGUAACUCUUCAACAUGAGGGGGGACGUCGAUCAACCCCCUCUCGCCCAACCAAACCCUAGAAGCGUCAAGGCCACCCCAAACCCUAGAAGCAUUUUUGAGGGGUCAUGGUUCGAGGAUCGUCGAGGGGUCGAGGGGUCGAGGUUCGAGGAUCGCCGAGGGGUCGAGGGUCGAGAUUUAUCAAGAAUGCCCCCAUUAUGGAUGUGCACAAGUUGAUCCAUUUUUUUCUGAUCUCAUCUACGUAAUGUUCUAUAUGUCACGUUGUCUUGUAUCAAAGUAUUGAAGAAAUCCAUGGCUUCAUCAUUAGCCAGAAGUAACUGGGGCAUGAAGGUACAAAGCUCUUGGAGUCCCGGAUAGGAUAAUCCAAUUUUUUCUACGAAGUUCAGAAAAGGCCUUCCAAAUAGCGAUAUUCGGAAGGCUCUUGUUGAACUUCGUAACAAAAAGCGAAUUGUCCUAUCCGGGACUCCGUUCUAAAAUAACUUUGUAGAGUUCCGUACCAUCAUGCCCCGGUUACUUCCGGCUAAUGAUGAAGCCAUGGUUUUCUUGAAUCCUUUGACACUAGACAAUGUGACAUAUAGAAAUGUAGAUGAGAUCAGGAAAAAUAUGGACCAUUUUUUGCACAUCCAGAAUGGCGCCAUUUUGUUAAAUCCCUUGUUUGCCAUUCAUGGGAGAGGCGGUCCGGACGUCGGACAUUCAUGAGAGAACUAUGGUAACUCUUCAACAUGAGGGGGGACGUCGAUCAACCCCCUCUUGCCCGACCAAACCCUAGAAGCGUUGAGGCCACCCCAAACCCUAGAAUCAUCGAGGCCACCCAAAUUUACCAAGUUAAAAGAGCAUUGUCAUCGAGGCCACCCCAAACUGUAGAAGCGUCGAGGCCACUAAUUAAUAUUCCUUGUUGUGAUUAGCUAGCUAGGUCUAUGUUUGCCACUAAUAUGUCCAUCUCUCAUGUUUGUAUAUUAAUUGCCAUGUUGUAAUAUUUGCAGAAACUGUGGAUCAACAAAGAGACUUGGAAAAAGAACAGUUGUUGGGGGAUAUAAUCUUCGCUGGAGAUGAUGUCUAGUAUAGGUCUUUCUUGAGCUAACCUAGGUAACUAAGCAUAUUAGAGCUAAUUUAGCAUUUUAGAGCUAACUUAGGUCAUUUUGGAGCUAACCUAGGUAAAAUGGAUCAUAUUGGAGCUACCUAAGUAAAAUUGUUCAUUUUGGAGCUAACCUAGCUAAUUAUGCCAUUUUUGAGUUAACUAAGCAUAUUACGCCAUUUUUGACAUAAGUAAGCUAAGUAUAGGUAUUUCUUGAGCUAACCCAGGUAACUAAGCAUAUUAGAGCUAAUUUAGCAUUUUAGAGCUAACUUAGGUCAUUUUGGAGCUAACUUAGGUAAAAUUGAUCAUUUUGGAGCUAAUUAGGCUUAUUAUGUCAUUUUCGAGGAAAAUAAGCUAACUAUAUGACAUAUAUGAGGUUACCAAGAUUAUUAUGCCAUUUCAAACCUAAGUAAGCUAAUUAUGCCAUUUUUUUACAUAAGUAAGCUAAGUGUAUGUCAUUAUUGAGAAAACCUAGGUAACUAAGCAUAUUAGAGAUAACUUAGCACAUUAGAGCUAACUUAGGUCAUUUCAGAGGAAACAAAGCUAAGUAUAGAUCAUUUUGGAGAUCUGACGUACCUGACAUACUUCACUCCUCUUUCUUCUCCUCCGCCUUCAUCAUCCUGAUCUACUUAGAGCGGCGAGGCAGUGGGAUGUAGUCUUCUACCACAAUUGGCAUGGUCAUGUCGUCCAACUGUGGGAUCACGAGGUCAUUGUCAGGCACCACCACCAUCGCGAGGCCAUCUUCAGGCAGCACCAUCGCUAGAUCAUCGUCAACCACCACCAUCUCUUGCCCAUCAUCAGCGACCACCAUCGCUUGCCCAUCGCCAGCCACCACCAUCACUUGGCCAUCGUCAGCCACCACCAUCGCGAGGUCAUCGUCAGAUAGAAUAGGCUGCACCUCCUCAUCCCCACUCUGGUCCUCUUCUUCCCCACUCCAUUCCUGAGCAUUCUCGUUGCUGCUUUUGCUAUAGCCAGAGUCGCUGCUGCUUUGGCUGUAGCUAGAGUCACUGCUGCUGCUCCCAUUGCCUCACCAAAUGCAACAGAGUUUUUUAAACAAUCAAUGUGAGACAAAGCCAAAUGUAGAGGAAGAAGAGGCAAAACGUACUGGCAUCAUCGUCGUCCUGGUAGCUCAUGCGGCACACAGUCGUGUUGAAUACCUUUACGGUGAGCAUGGCAACGCAGUCGUACCUGAAGACAAGGAAGUACCCGUGCUGCAGGUCGUAGGCACGAACGAACUUCUCCCAGCCAUGACACAGGUACAUGUGGCCGUACCUGAUCACCACCUCCACGUCCCAAUGCCUGGGAAGCCCGCUGCCGCCCUGUCGCAGCUUCACAUUCUUUGGCCGAUGGCCGUCCAGCAUAUUCAUAAAAGUGUCAGGCAGCCUCUGCAGCAUGGGUCAAGGAGUGAUGUAGCAAACAACAGAGUUAUCAUAAAGAGAUGGUUGAAGGGGAGAUCUCUCCUUUUAUAUACCUACCUCCUGGAGGAAUUCUCAAGUAUGAUCGUGAAGAACUCGAAACCAUCCAACUCGUACUUCAGUGUGGCAGAACGCAACCUGCGGUGGCGGCCUCCCCCCAUCUCUGAUAAGCAACAGAAGAGACCAAUUACUACCCUUACAACAUUAUCAUACAACAUUACAGCAGUAGAAGUUUUGAUCAGAAGAUAAUCAACUACACCAAGUUAUCAUUUCACAUUCAAAAAGAAAUGCACUUGUGGACAUAUGAUGGCAAUAGCUAGAACCCUUCAAAACUAGGGAUUUCUUCAGACAUGAAACAAAACUAAAAAUGUAAACCAAAUUGAUGGUGAUACCAAUAAGAAAACAUUACCACUACCAAGGAUAUUGAAACUACAGAUGAUCCUUUAAUUAAAACUACAAAUGCAAGCAAAACUACUGAAACUACAAAUGAUCCUUUAAUUAACAAGUUGAAGUUACUUGGAGUAACAUUUGGUUUUAGUUUACUUGGAAUAGUGUCUAGAGCAAGAAGAGAUAUGCAUAAUUGAAGUUCUGUGAUAAAGGCAGUCUUAGCAACAUGACGUUGAAAAUUUGACUAACUAUAUGCUAUAAUUUGAUCUACUCCCAACAAUGCUCGGUUGUACUCUCCAACUCAAUGAACCAUUUGUUACAAAAUGAGCCAUGAUUACAACUUAAGUAAUUACAAUAAAAAGAUAUGCCAAGCAACAUAAUUACUGCAGUUCCCCUUUUAACUUGCUAAGAACAUCUACUAAGGAAACUACACAAAGUAAUAUAGCCCUGGAACAAGAGAGAAUAGUCUAUCUCAGAAACUAGAUUGCUCUGAUUCCUUUAUAUCUUUAUUAUGUGUAUACUUUGUAAAACUAUUUUUCCUGGAACCAGCAGCAUCUUGUGUCUCAUUUACUCUGAUUAAUUACUACAGUCAAAAUCACCUUUGAAGCCAUUGCAGCUUGUCUUUAGCCUAGUCGCCAAGGGCUACUAGCACACCCAAGGAAAGUGGUUUGAACCUGGGUUGCUUGGUAGCAUGUCCAUGUGUUUUAACAUUGAGCUACCCAGUGAUUCCCACAACUACUGAAUAUUGUAUAAUAUAAUUUAUGUAAUGUGUGUGUAUAUGUGUAUAAUAUAUUUGUGAUAUAUACUUGUGCUAACUGAAACAACAAACUGGUCCUAUGCUCUGAUAUUACCAAUUUACCAUAGUUUUGCAUAAAAAAAGCCGGGUAAUGUUCAAUAUACUAGGAUGAGCUAGCAUACAAUGCUCAACAUGAGUUAUGUAAUAAACUAAAAUCUAGGAUAAGCAUCUAAACAUCACUGCAAUGCAGCAACUAGUUCUACAAUCCUAGUCUUCUCCAACAUCUGCAACUUCGCUUUGAAUCACUUCUUUUAACAUUUUGGUUGCUUCAUGGCAAAUGGCAACUUUGCUAACAAGCAUUGAACCACUUCUUUAAUUCAAAGAUCCACAUUUGGGCUUUUUAUUGAGGAUUUACCCUGUGUUGAUUCUUGUACAAAAUCACUCUAAAAAAACCACCACAAUUGGGGCACCAUGAAGAGUGGCACACUUACUUGACUUUGAUGUAGGUGGUCGAAGGAGCAGCGGGCAAGGUCGGGGUGGAGCGGGGCGGAGGAGGGGGUCGCCGGGGCAGCGGGGNNNNNNNNNNNNNNNNNNNNNNNNNNNNNNNNNNNNNNNNNNNNNNNNNNNNNNNNNNNNNNNNNNNNNNNNNNNNNNNNNNNNNNNNNNNNNNNNNNNNNNNNNNNNNNNNNNNNNNNNNNNNNNNNNNNNNNNNNNNNNNNNNNNNNNNNNNNNNNNNNNNNNNNNNNNNNNNNNNNNNNNNNNNNNNNNNNNNNNNNNNNNNNNNNNNNNNNNNNNNNNNNNNNNNNNNNNNNNNNNNNNNNNNNNNNNNNNNNNNNNNNNNNNNNNNNNNNNNNNNNNNNNNNNNNNNNNNNNNNNNNNNNNNNNNNNNNNNNNNNNNNNNNNNNNNNNNNNNNNNNNNNNNNNNNNNNNNNNNNNNCGGGGGCGGCACGACGAUGGGGUUGGCGCGGGGCAGAGAGGGGGUCGCUAGGGCGGAGAGGGGGUCACCGGGGCGGCGCAACGAUGUGGGUGGCGCGGGGCGGCGGCGGCACGGGGGCAAGGCGGCCGACGACGGGGGUGGCGCGGGGCAGCGAUGUCUCGGGCAUGGGGUGGAGAGAGGGGACAGAGAGAGAGAGGGGUCGGGUGCGAGCGUGUUGGCUUUUUAGUUAGGGCACGGUUCUUUGCCGUCUGCUAGCAGACGGCAAAGAGCCUAGCUAACGGACGUUAGUUUGGGAACUUUCUUUGCCAUCGGCUAGCGGACGGCAAAGACAGAGGCCGUUAGGUGGCUCUCGCUAGUGGGCCCCCCUCCCUCUUUGCCGUCUACUCGCUGACGGCAAUGCAUCUAUGCCGUCAGCUACCGGAUGGCAAAGAGACGGCUGGCGGCAAACAAUAUCUUUGCCGUCCGCUUCUUGUUUGCCGUCAGUUUUAUUUAACCUUAUGGCAAAGACCUUCUUUGCCAUCAGCUAGCUGACGGCAAAGAGCCAGCUGAUGGCAAAGAUCCUGAUUCCAGUAGUGAUAUAUUAACUCUUCUUUCUUCUUUUAUAGCCCUCCGGAUUGAGCCAAACUUCGGUAACAAGAUGAGGCCUAAAGAAAAGUUUGCGCGUGGAUGAAAGGUUCACAAUCACAGCAAUCACGAACGAUGGCCAACUGAUUAAACCACGUGGACCAAGGAUGCAUUUUCUGCUCGGUGCGGAGCCAUUGUUAGGGACAUCAACCCGAUGUCUACUACGCAACCUUCUUCUUGUAGACGUUGUUGGGCCUCCAAGUGCAGAGGUUUGUAGGACAGCAACAGAUUUCCCUCAAGUAUAUGACCUAAGGUUUAUAAAUCCGUGGGAGGCAUAGGAUGAAGAUGGUCUCUCUCAAACAACCCUGCAAAACAAAUAGUCUCUUAUGUCCCCAACACACCCAAUACAAUGGUAAAUUGUAUAGGUGCACUAGUUCGGCGAAGAGAUGGUGAUACAAGUGCAAUAUGGAUGGUAGAUAUGAGUAUUUGUAAUCUGAAAAUAUAAAAACAGCAAGGUAAAAAGUGGCAAAAGUGAGCGUAAACGGUAUUGCAAUGCUAGGAAACAAGUCCUAUGGUUCAUAAUUUCACUAGUGCAAGUUCUCUCAACAAUAAUAACAUAAUUGGAUCAUAUAACUAUCCCUCAACAUGCAACAAAGAGUCACUCCAAAGUCACUAAUAGCAGAGAACAAACGAAGAGAUUAUUGUAGGGUACGAAACCACCUCAAAGUUAUCCUUUCUGAUCAAUCUAUUCAAGAGUCCGUAGUAAAAUAACACGAAGCUAUUCUUUCCAUUCGAUCUAUCAUAGAGUUUGUACUAGAAUAACACCUUAAGACACAAAUCAACCAAAACCCUAAUGUCACCUAGAUACUCUAAUGUCACCUCAAGUAUCCAUGGGCAUGAUUAUACGAUAUGCAUCACACAAUCUUAGAUUCAUCUAUUCAACCAACACAAAGUACUUCAAAGAGUGCCCCAAAGUUUCUACCAGAGAGUCAAGACGAAAACGUGUGCCAACCCCUAUGCAUAAGUUCACAAGGUCACCGAACCCGCAAGUUGAUCACCAAAACGUACAUCAAGUAGAUCUCGUGAAUAUCCCAUUGUCACCACAGAUAAGCACAUGCAAGACAUACAUCAAGUGUUCUCAAAUCCUUAAAGACUCAAUCCAAUAAGAUAACUUCAAAGGGAAAACUCAAUCCUUUACAAGAGAGUAGAGGGGGAGAAACAUCAUAAGAUCCAACUAUAAUAGCAAAACUCGCAAUAUCAAGAUCGUGCUGAAUCAAGAACACGAGAGAGAGAGAGAGAGAGAGAGAGAGAGAGAGAUCAAACACAUAGCUAUGGGUACAUACCCUCAUCCCCGAGGGUGAACUACUCCCUCCUUGUCAUGGAGCGCCGGGAUAAUGAAGAUGGCCACCGGUGAGGGAUCCCCCCUCCGGCAGGGUGCUGGAAUAGAGUCCUGGGAGCUUUUUGGUAGCUACAGAGGCUUGCGGUGGCGGAACUCCCGAUCUAUUGUGCUCCCGGAUGUUUUCGGAGUAUAUGAGUAUAUAUAGGCGAAAGAAGUCGGUUAGGGGAGCCAUGAGGGGCCCACGAGGGUGGGGGCGCGCCCAGGGGGUAGGGCGUGCCCUGGACCCUCGUGGCUUCCUCGAAGCUUCCCUGAUGUCUACUCCAAGUCUCCUGGAUUGCGUUUGUUCCAAAAAUAACUCUCUCAAAGGUUUCAUUCCGUUUGGACUCCGUUUGAUAUUCCUUUUCUUCGAAACACUGAAAUAGGCAAGAAAACACCAAUUUGGGUUGGGCCUCUGGUUAAUGGGUUAGUCCCAAAAAUAAUAUAAAAGUGUAUAACAAAGCCCAUUAAACAUCCAAAAUAGAUAAUAUAAUAGCAUGGAACAAUAAAAAAUUAUAGAUACGUCGGAGACGUAUCAAGCAUCCCCAAGCUUAAUUCCUGCUCGUCCUCGAGUAGGUAAAUGAUAAAAAUAGAAGUUUUGAUGUGGAAUGCUACCUAACAUAAUUUUCAAUGUAAUUCUCUUUAUUGUGGCAUGAAUGUUCAGAUCCAAAAGAUUCAAGAUAAAAGUUCAUAUUGACAUAAAAAUAGUAAUACUUCAAGCAUACUAACAAGUAAUCAUGUCUUAUCAAAAUAACAUUGCCAAAUAAAGCUUAUCCCUACAAAAUCAUAUAGUUAGGCCAUGCUUCAUUUUCGUCACACAAAAUGCUCCCAUCAUGCACAACCCCGGUUUCAGCCAAGCAAUUGGUUCAUACUUUUUAACGCGCUUCAGCCUUUUCAACCCUCACGCAAUACAUGAAUGUAAGCCAUGGAUAUAGCACUAUGGGUGGAGUAGAGUAUGAUGAUAGGGAUUAUGUGAGAAAACAAAAAAGGAGAAAGUUUCACAUUGACGCGGCUAAUCAACGGGCUAUGGAGAUGCCCAUCAAUUGAUGUCAAUACGAGGAGUAGGGAUUGCAUGCAAUGGAUGCACUAGGCUAUAAAUGUAUGAAAGAUCAUCAAAAAGAAACUAAGUGGGUGUGCAUCCAACUUGCUUGCUCACGAAGACCUAGGGCAUUUUGAGGAAGCCCAUCAUUGGAAUAUACAAGCCAAGUUCUAUAAUGAAAAAUUCCCACUAGUAUAUGAAAGUGACAACAUAGGAGACUCUCUAUCAUGAAGAUCAUGGUGCUAUGUUGAAGCACAAGUGUGGUAAAAGGAUAGUAGCAUUGCCCCUUCCCUCUUUUUCUCUCAUUUUUUCCUUUUUUUUAUUUGGGCUUCUUUGGCCUCUUUUUUUUAUUUGGGCUUCUUUGGCCUCUUUUUUUAAAAGUCCGGAGUCUCAUCCCGACUUGUGGGGGAAUCAUAGUCUCCAUCAUCCAUUCAUCACAUGGGACAUUGCUCUAAUAGUGGAAAUCAUCACACUUGUAUUUAUUUACAACUCAAGGAUUACAACUCAAUACUUAGGAAAAAAUAUGACUCUAUGUGAAUGCCUCCGACGGUGUACCGAGAUGUGCAAUGAAUCAAGAGUGACAGGUAUGAAAGAAUUAUGAAAGGUGGCUUUGCCACAAAUACGAUGUCAACUACAUGAUCAUGCAAAGCAAUAUGACAAUGAUGGAGCGUGUCAUAACAAACGAAACGGUGGAAAGUUGCAUGGCAAUAUAUCUCGGAAUGGCUAUGGAAAUGCCAUAAUAGGUAGGUAUGGUGGCUGUUUUGAGGAAGAUAUAAGGAGGUUUAUGUGUGAUAGAGCGUAUCGUAUCACGGGGUUUGGAUGCACUGGCAAAGUUUGCACCAACUCUCAAGGUGAGAAAGGGCAAUGCACGGUACCAUAGAGGCUAGCAAAUUGCGGAAGGGUAAGAGUGCGCAUAAUCCAUGGACUCACAUUAGUCAUAAAGAACUCAUAUACUUAUUGCAAAAGUUUAUUAGCCCUCAAAGCAAAGUACUACUACGCAUGCUCCUAGGGGAAGGGUUGGUAGGAGUUAACCAUCGCGCGAUCCCGACCUCCACUCAUAAGGAAGGCAAUCAAAGAACACCCCAUGCUUCAAAUUUGUCACACAACGUUCACCAUACAUGCAUGCUACGUGACUUGCCAACUUUAACACAAGUAUUUCUCAAUUUCAUAAUUACCCAACUAGCAUGACUCUAACAUUACCACCUUUAUAUCUCAAAACAAUUAUCAAGUAUCAAAUUUAUCAUAGUAUUCAAUGCAUUUUAUAUGAAAGUUUUUAUUAUACCCAUCUUGAAUGCUUAUCAUAAUAGGACUAAUUUCAUAACCAAAGCAUAUUACCAUGCUGUUCUAAAAGACUCUCAAAAUAAUAUAAGUGAAGCAUGAGAGAUCAAUAAUUUCCACAAAAUAAAACCACCACCGUGCUCUAAAAAGGUAUAAGUGAAGCACUAGAGCAAACGACAAACUACUCCGAAAGAUAUAAGUGAAGAUCAAUGAGUAGUUGAAUAAUUAUGCAACUAUGUGAAGACUCUCCAACAUUUAAGAAUUUCAGAUCUUGGUAUUUUAUUCAAACAACAAGCAAAGGAAAAGAAAAGAAAAUGACGCUCCAAGCAAAACACAUAUCAUGUGGUGAAUAAAAAUAUAGCUCCAAGUAAAGUUACCGAUGAACGAAGACGAAAGAGGGGAUGCCAUCCAGGGCAUCCCCAAGCUUAGGCUCUUGCCACUCCUUAUUCCAUAGUCCAUCGAAUCUUUACUCAAAACUUGAAAACUUCACAACACAAAACUUAACAGAAAACUCGUAAGCUCCGUUAGUAUAAGAAAAUAAAUCACCACUUAGGUACUGUUAUGAACUCAUUCUAAAUUCAUAUUGGUGUAAUAUCUACUGUAUUCCAACUUCUCUAUGGUUCAUACCCUCCGAUAAUACUCAUAGAUUCAUCAAAAUAAGCAAACAACCCAUAGAAAACAGAAUCUGUCAAAAACAGAACAGUCUGUAGUAAUCAGUAUCAUUAGAAUACGUAUGUAACUCAAACAAUUAUGAAAUAAAUGUGUGGACUUGAGGAAUUUAUCUAUUAAUCAUCUUCAAAAAGAAUCAACCUAAAAUCACUCUCCAGUAAAAAAUGGCAGCUAAUCUCGUGAGCGCAAAAGUUUCUGUUUUUUACAGCAAGAUCGCAUAGACUUCACCCAAGUCUUCCCAAAGGUCCUACUUGGAACAAACACUAAUUAAAACAUAAAACCACAUCUAAACAGAGGCUAGAUGAAUUAUUUAUUACUAAACAGGAGCAAAAGCAAAGGACAAAAGUAGAAUUGGGUUGCCUCCCAACAAGCGCUAUCGUUUAACGCCCCUAGCUAGGCAUGAUGAUUUCAAUGAUGCUCACAUAAAAGAUAAGAAUUGAAACACAAGGAGAGCAUCAUGAAGCAUAUGACUAGAACAUUUAAGUCUAACCCACUUCCUAUGCAUAGGGAUUUUGUGA
rnacentral:lncRNA from 1 species